rnacentral:lncRNA from 1 species
GCGCCUGCUAAGAUGCUGACUCAGUGUUGCAAAUCGAUCGCUAGAUCACAGCUGAGCUAAUAUUGCUGAAUAAUGGUGAGGGAGAAGGUAUUUGUUGAUAACCUUACAAGGAAGCUGCCUCACCCUGCUGAAUGCUCCGCUGCCGCUUGCAGAAGGCAAUUGUGCACUAGAUUCAGAUUUGCCUGAUAAAAGGAACAGUGUGUCAAAUUUCGAAAGUAAUCAGUUAGUUCUUUUUCUCCCGACUAAAAGUUUGAUUUCUUAACAUGGUGGCAUACUGUUGGAACAUUUGUCUGAAGCUGGUUAUUCAUAUUUAUAUAGAAAGUAAGGGAUGCUGAUAUCUUGGAUAUUACUUCCGUAGCUUUGUCAUCAUUUAUACUUCCAUUUUGUGCUUUGAUUUGUGGUGCGGCAUCUACUAGUUUCUGUUACCACUAUAUUGCGUCAACUAUCUUAGGUGCCAUCUGCACUACAUAAAUAGGAGUAGCAUUUAUUUCCUUCUGGUAUCCGUUGUGUAUUAUUUUCUUGAGUACUACGUAAGUAUUAUUUUUUUGUUCAGGGCUAGUGAUAUCUCUCUGCUUUUUGUACAUGUGCUAGCUAAUGCCUUGGUCGAGUAGGGUUUUUAACUGAAAUAAAAAACUCAGCAGAACUUGAUUCUGUUUUACCUGUGACCAAGUAUCUACUUGGAAGUCGCCUUGGCGCUUAUUAAGAAACAAUCCAGUGAAGGUCAGGGCUUCAACUGUGAGUUAUUAUACAACAUUCCCAUGGUGCGUAUGAUGUGCGCUGCUUCGAUAGCUUGCGCUUUCCUCCUGUGUAGAUCAGAUUUUGUCGAUAAAGCUGAUUUUUUUUUCUUGAGCGCAUGAUCCUUGUUUGUGCAAGCGAAGCAUCUUAUUGCUUUUAAAUUUUGCAGUCGCCGUAUUUGAGAUCCGUCACUUUCUCAAGUUUUAUAAAUUUGUUCACUUUUUUCGUCCUGUCGAGUGCUAACAGGGAGCAAAUUGUGAUAUCCUCUGAACAGGGAGCAAAUGGUUCCUGGCUUCCAUUUGGCAGAGGACCAAGAUGAUGAUAGUACCAAUGUUCAACAUUUGGUACGGCAAACGACGGUCGUUUCACAGACUGGUUGUGGAAAAUGGAUAUAAUUUGCCUGGAUCUUUUUUGGGUGAGUGAAUUUGGUAGGGCAUUGGCCGUGCAAAAUGGGCAUAUCUUACCUGAAAUUGUUCCCAGUGUGUAGAUUAGAUAGGUUGCAAGGGAGCCUCUUUUUAUUUUCUUCAUGUGAAGAAUGCUUUUAACUGAAACGCAAAUGUGUACUUGUAAAAAACAUUCAGUGUUCACAUUUGUACUGAAAUCCUUUGAGUUCGAUUAUAGGAUGCAUAAUACAUGGCAUCCCGUUUGCUAAGCUAGUGAAGUGGUUGUUAAGUUUCUGCAAAUAAAAUGGGCAUCUAGGCACCAGUGGUCUAGUGGUAGAAUAGUACCCUGCCACGGUACAGACCCGGGUUCGAUUCGCGGCUGGUGCAUAUGCUUCAUUUUUUUGUCCUUUCUUUUCAUCUAUGUUUUUUUUUUAAUUCUUGACGUUAAAUCCUGCAUGCCAUAUAAGUAUUUUUUGCUUUAUAGACAUCAAAAGCAGAGGGAGAAGAGUAGUGAGAGUGAACUCAAUAUUAUUUUUCACUGCAGGUGCUAUCAUCACUUUCAGCCACCUACUCAAGGCCAUCUGUGCGGAGAACAAGACCAGCUAUGCAAUGGACAUGGCACUUCGGAUAAUGCCCAAGUUUAACUGCAUACCGGAUGUUUUCUCCUACAACAUUCUUUUCAAGGGUCUAUGCACCGAGAAAAGAAGCCAAGAGGCUCUAGAGCUGAUUCACGUCAUGGCUGAGGAUGGAGGUAGCUGCCAACCUAAUGUGGUGUCCUAUAGCACCGUAGUUGAUGGCUUGUUGAAAGAGGGUGAGGUGGACAAAGCUUACAGCCUAUUUUGUCAAAUGCUAAAGAGGCGAAUUUCGCCGAAUGUUGUGACCUGUAGUUCAAUCAUCUCUGUCAUGUGCAAGGUUCAUGCGAUGGACAAGGCUGAGCAGGUUCUUCAACAGAUGUUUGAUACAAGAAUUCUGCCAAAUGUUGCUACAUAUACUAGUCUGAUACAAGGAUACUAUUCAUUAGGACACUGCGAAGAGGUGGAUUGGAUUUUCAAGAAAAUGUCUAGAAAUGGUGUUCAACCAAAUAUUGUAGCUUACAAACAUACGGAUGGAUUAUCUUUGCAAGAGCGGAAGAUGCGCAUAAGCUAGGAAGCUUUUUGAUUCUAUGAUCAGUUUGGGCCAAAAACCGACGGUUACUACAUACAACAUUCUGCUCCAUGGGUAUGCUAUGCAAAGUUCUUUUCAUGAUAUGCAUUGUCUCAUGGAUUUGAUGGCAGAAAAUGGCAUUUCACCGGAUCAUUAUGUCUACAACAUACUGAUAUUUGCAUAUGCUAAAGAAAAAAAAUGGUUGGUGAGGUAAUGCAUAUAUUUACAAAAAUGCGGCAGCAAGGAUUCAACCCUGAUGCAGCGAGCUAUGGGACGGGAAUAAACUUACUUUGCAGCAUUGGCCGAAUGGAUGAUGCUGUGCUGCAAUUCAAUCAAAUGAUGACGGAAGGAUGGAUUAGCUCAUGAUAUCAUAGUUUUCACCACCCUUUUGAGUGGUUUUUGUUCUUGUGGCAAAUGGGAGAAGGUUCAUGAACUAUUUUCUGAAACGUUGAAUCGUGGCAUCUAUCCCAAUACUGUGUUCUUCAACAGAAUUAUGAGCCCCCUUUGCAAAAAUGGAAGCCCAAGAUCUCUCUGACCUGAUGAUACACAUGGGUGUAAAGCCGGACAUGCAUACUUAUAACACACUGAUGGGUGGAUACAUGUUCGUUGGCAAGAUGGAUGAAGUGAGGAAGUUACUUGACAAUAUGGUCUCAACUGGCAUGGAACCAGAUAUUUUCACAUAUGGAUGACUACAACUUGAAGGAAGUUGCACAUUUGGCCUCAGCUAAGCUGUAAUUUUGUAGUUUACUUUUGUCAGUCCUGGAUUUCCCUUGUUUCUUUGAUUUGUGUCAUUCCUGUUUGCACACAAACCCAUGUUAUGGUUUUGUAGAUAAUUAGAGGCGGCAUGAGCUAGCUGCUCUUCAUAACUUCCAUCUGGUAGCACAAGGAAAAAGACCUUGGUAAGCACAUGAGGUGAUAAUGGUACGAAAGAACUCUUUGUUGCCUCACACGAAUUGUGAAACCAUGGUGAUCUCCAGAUGCAUGUUGCCAGCGGGAUGAGAUGCGUUCAGAUCAAACCAGUGUUUGUAUUUACAUACAAGUAAGUUUGUUCCAAAUUAUUAGCAAUACAAAGCUAGGGAUUCGCCUGACUUAUUCAGUUCUAGCACCCGGGGGCGAACCCAGAACAAAAAAGACACAUGCAAACCAUAUAUACAUGGGAGGAUAACAAGCAAUGAUACACAUAGAAGUAGCACACAAGAAUAAUUUAAAUGUGAUGGGCAUCAUUUGGUCACGUGAAGGGCCAAGAUUGUCUUAAGCUUCUUAAGAAACAUUUCCAUAAAUUCCCCUAGAAUUUAUUGGUUAUUAUGUUGGCACAGAUGCACAACGAAUUAUAUUGUUUGUGUUCAUCGAUGAGAAAAUAAAAAUAGUAAAUAAAGCAUAUUGUUUGAAUUGCAUGGUUCCAAAGUUAAACUUAUUCGACAUUGGUUCUUAUCGUCAUCGUGCGUAGCCAAGAAAUAAUCCAACUAGAUAUGAAUCUGUUGGAGUUAUUGGCCAUAACCCAUAUAAUAAUUCAUAUUUUGUGCCAAUAAUUCAAAGUAAAUCCCAGAGGCUCAUGUGGCCCAUCCAUGCAUGACAAGGUUGUGUGGAAAAUUGACCAAUGCCACGUGUAUGCGCUGUUUUAUCACGCGAGAAGAAAGUUGAAACAAUUGACACAUAAAUGGGAGAAGAAACUGAACACUUCGUGUGAGUUUUAGUGCGCUCGUUUCUUCUCUCCUUAAUGGUUUUUAGUGCGUCUGUUUAAUGGUGUUUAUUGCACCGGUUUCUCUUCUACUAAUGAAGGCCAGUUUCAACUCUUCUCACGUAUAUAAGAGGUCGCUCCUCUGUUGUUCCAAGCAGCACAACAACCUUUCGUCUCAUUCCAAAGCAUUGAGCCGCCUAUCUCUUUCCCAUCUCUCUUCCUGGCGUGCACCGGGAAGUGAGACAGCAGGCCUCCGAAACCCCGCCUCUUGUGAUCCGGUACGGGAGAGGGGCGAUCAGGUUUUUGGGGAGCGUCCUUACGCGACUGCUGGAGUCUUGUUCAUCGUGGCUGCGAACGGCGACAUCACCGACGACGAGUUCCCUAACGACGACUUCUUCCCCGACGUCAACGACCUCUUCAGCGACAUGACGAUCGGGACAUCUGCACCUUCUGCUACUGCGCCGUAUGCCAUCUUAUCCUCACUGUUAGGGCUAGCAUUUGGUUUAUUGCUAAUAGCAAUUGACAUGGAUAUGAUGCAUUUUUCUUAUGAUUUUGAUUGCAUGACUAGUCUCAACGAAUUGUUGCUAGUUUCUAGUUUCAUCAAUAUAUUGCUAUUCAUGUUUUAUCCAUUAUUUUUCUGGAUUAAACUAAACGGGAAAAUGCCUAAUUAUUCAACAAUCCAAAAACCUGAUUUGUGUAGGCAAUUUUCUCCAACUGCAUUUGCUGCUACUCUUAAGCCUUCUGUGUUCGAGGGUGUGAACUAUAAGAGGUGGCGUGCGAGGGCAGUUCUUUGGCUUACCACCAUGAAUUGUUUUCACGCCUCUAAGGGCAAGCCAGAGGGAGAGCUAACUGAUGAACAGGAGAAGGCUUUCCAGGCUACGGACACCCUCUUCUGAGGUGCUGUUCUGAGUGUUCUUGGCGACAAGAUUGUCGAUCCCUUCAUGACCAUCAUGGUCGGUAAGGAUAUGUGGGAUGCGCUUGAGGCCAAAUUUGGAGUCUCAGACGCAGGAAGUGAGUUGUACGUCAUGGAGCAAUAUUAUGACUACAAAAUGACUGAUGACCGCUCCGUUGUAGAGCAGGCUCAUGAGAUUCAGUCGCUCACAAAAGAACUUGAGCAUCUUAAUUGUGUGUUACCGGACAAAUUCAUUCCCGGAGGCAUCAUUGCCAAGCUUCCUCCUUCAUGGAGGAAUUUUGCUACCUCUCUGAAGCAUAAGAGGCAAGAGUUUACUAUUGUCAAUCUAAUUGGCACUCUUGAUGUAGAAGAGAAGGCGAGGGCAAAAUACACACGUGCUCGUUUCCAUGAGGGGAAUUCCAGUGCCAAUUUGGUACAAAAGAGAAAUUUCCAAACCCACAAACCCAAGAACAAAAACUAUGCGGGCAAAGGAAAAUUUGAUGGCAAGUACAAAGCUCCACAACAUGUCAACUUCAAGAAGAAGAAGGAGACUUAUAAGAAGAAAGGAAAGUGCCAUGUAUGUGGCAGUGAAGAACAUUGGGCUUCAUCCUGCAAGGACCGCUGGGACAUGCGUCAAAAUGAGAACAAUAGCAAGACCGCUAAUGUUGUUAUUGUUGGAAAUAUGCCCUAGAGGCAAUAAUAAAAUGGUUAUUAUUGUAUUUUUCCUUGUUCAUGAUAAUUGUCUGUUGUUCAUGCUAUAAUUGUAUUAACUGGAAACCGUAAUACAUGUGUGAAUACAUAGACCACAACAUGUCCCUAGUAAGCCUCUAGUUGACUAGCUCGUUGAUCAAUAGAUGGUUAUGGUUUCCUGACCAUGGACAUUGGAUGUCAUUGAUAACGGGAUCACAUCAUUAGGAGAAUGAUGUGAUGGACAAGACCCAAUCCUAAGCAUAGCACAAGAUCGUGUAGUUCGUUUGCUAGAGCUUUUCUAAUGUCAAGUAUCAUUUCCUUAGACCAUGAGAUUGUGCAACUCCCGGAUACCGUAGGAAUGCUUUGGGUGUACCAAACGUCACAACGUAACUGGGUGGCUAUAAAGGUGCACUACAGGUAUCUCCGAAAGUGUCUGUUGGGUUGGCACGAAUCGAGACUGGGAUUUGUCACUCCGUAUGACGGAGAGGUAUCUCUGGGCCCACUCGGUAAUGCAUCAUCAUAAUGAGCUCAAUGUGACCAAGUGUUUGGUCACGGGAUCAUGCAUUACGGUACGAGUAAAGUGACUUGCCGGUAACGAGAUUGAACAAGGUAUUGGGAUACCGACGGUCGAAUCUCGGGCAAGUAACGUACCGAUUGACAAAGGGAAUUGUAUACGGGAUUGAUUGAAUCCUCGACAUCGUGGUUCAUCCGAUGAGAUCAUCGUGGAACAUGUGGGAGCCAACAUGGGUAUCCAGAUCCCGCUGUUGGUUAUUGACCGGAGAGUCGUCUCGGUCAUGUCUGCAUGUCUCCCGAACCCGUAGGGUCUACACACUUAAGGUUCGGUGACGCUAGGGUUGUAGAGAUAUUAGUAUGCGGAAAUCCGAAAGUCGUUCGGAGUCCCGGAAGAGAUCCCGGACGUCACGAGGAGUUCCGGAAUGGUCCGGAGGUAAAGAUUUAUAUAUGGGAAGUCCUAUUUUGGCCACCGGAAAAUGUUCGGGAUUUUUCGGUAUUGUACCGGGAAGGUUCUAGAAGGUUCUGAAGUGGGGCCCACCUGCAUGGGGGGACCCACAUGAACGUGGGUAGUGGGGGCAAGGCCCCACACCCCUGGUCAAGGCGCACCAAGAUCCCACCUUAGAAGGAAUAAGAUCAUAUCCCGAAGGGAUAAGAUCAAGAUCCCUAAAAAAGGGGGAUAACAAUCGGUGGGAAAGGGAAAUGAUGGGAUUUCUUUCCCCCACCUUUGCCAACGCCCCAAUGGACUUGGAGGGCAAGAAACCAGCCCCCUCCACCCCUAUAUAUAGUGGGGAGGUGCAUGGGAACAGCACCCCAAGCCCUGGCGCCUCCCUCCCUCCCGUGACACCUCUUCCUCCCCGCUUGCGCUUGGCGAAGCCCUGCCGGGAUCCCGCUACUUCCACCACCACGCCGUCGUGCUGCUGCUGGAUCUCCAUCAACUUCUCCUCCCCCCUUGCUGGAUCAAGAAGGAGGAGACGUCCCCGCUCCAUACGUGUAUUGAACGCGGAGGUGCCGUCCGUUCGGCGCUAGGAUCAUCGGUGAUUUGGAUCACGACGAGUACGACUCCAUCAACCCCGUUCUCUUGAAUGCUUCCGCUCGUGAUCUACAAGGGUAUGUAGAUGCACUCCUCCCCUCUCGUUGCUAGCAUCUCCUAGAUUGAUCUUGGUGACACGUAGGAAAAUUUUGAAUUUCUGCUACGUUUCCUAACAGUGGUAUCAGAGCCAGGUUUAUGCGUAGAUUCUAUGCACGAGUAGAACACAAAAUAGUUGUGAGCGAUGAUUUGUUCAAUUUGCUUGCCGUUACUAGUCUUAUCUUGAUUCGGCGGCAUUGUGGGAUGAAGCGGCCCGAACCGACCUUACACGUACUCUUACGUGAGACAGGUUCCACCGACUGACAUGCACUUGAUGCAUAAGGUGGCUAGCGGGUGUCUGUCUCUCCCACUUUAGUUGGAUCAGAUUCGAUGAAAAGGGUCCUGAUGAAGGGUAAAUAGCAAUUGGCAUAUCACCGUUGUGGCUUUUGCGUAGGUAAGAAACGUUCUUCCUAGAAACCCAUAGCAGCCACGUAAAACAUGCAACAACAAUUAGAAGACGUCUAACUUGUUUUUGCAGGGUAUGCUAUGUGAUGUGAUAUGGCCAAAAGGAUGUGAUGAAUUAUAUAUGUGAUGUAUGAGAUUGAUCAUGUUCUUGUAAUAGGAAUCACGACUUGCAUGUCGAUGAGUAUGACAACCGGCAGGAGCCAUAGGAGUUGUCUUAAUUUAUUGUAUGACCUGCGUGUCAAUGAAAACGCCAUGUAAUUACUUUACUUUAUUGCUAACCGUUAGCCAUAGUAGUAGAAGUAAUAGUUGGCGAGACAACUUCAUGAAGACACGAUGAUGGAGAUCAUGAUGAUGGAGAUCAUGGUGUCAUGCCGACGACGAAGGUGAUCAUGCCGCGCCUCGAAGAUGGAGAUCAAAGGCGCAAGAUGAUAUUGGCCAUAUCAUGUCACUUUAUGAUUUGCAUGUGAUGUUUGUCAUGUUUACAUCUUAUUUGCUUAGAACGACGGUAGCAUAAAUAAGAUGAUCCCUCACUAAAAUUUCAAGAGAUGUGUUCCCCCUAACUGUGCACCGUUGCGAAGGUUCGUUGUUUCGAAGCACCACGUGAUGAUCGGGUGUGAUAGAUUCUAACGUUCGCAUACAACGGGUGUUGACGAGCCUAGCAUGUACAGACAUGGCCUCGGAACACAAGCAAAACACUUAGGUUGACUUGACGAGCCUAGCAUGUACAGACAUGGCCUCGGAACACAAGAGACCGAAAGGUCGAACAUGAGUCAUAUAGUAGAUACGAUCAACAUGGAGAUGUUCACCGAUGAUGACUAGUCCGUCUCACGUGAUGAUCGGACACGGCCUAGUCGAUUCGGAUCAUGUAUCACUUAGAUGACUAGAGGGAUGUCUAUCUAAGUGGGAGUUCAUUAAAUAAUCAGAUGAACUUAAUUAUCAUGAACAUAGUGAAAAGGUCUUUGCAAAUAAUGUCGUAGCUUACGCUUUAGUUCUACUAAGAUAUGUUCCUAGAGAAAAUUUAGUUGAAAGUUGAUAGUAGCAAUUAUGCGGACUGGGUCCGUAAACUGAGGAUUGUCCUCAUUGCUGCACAGAAGGCUUAUGUCCUUAAUGCACCGCUCGGUGUGCUGAACCUCGAGCGUCGUUUGUGGAUGUUGCGAACAUCUGACAUACACGUUUUGAUGACUACGUGAUAGUUCAGUGCGUAAUGUUGAACGGUUUAAAAUUGUGGCACCAAAGACGGUUUUGAAACGUCGCAGAACAUAUGAGAUGUUCCAAAGACUGAAAUUGGGAUUUCAGACUAGUGCCCACGUCAAGAGGUAUGAGACCUCUGACAAGUUUCUUAAGCCUGCAAACUAAGGGAGAAAAUCUCAAUCGUUGAGCAUGUGCUCAGAUUGUCUGAGUACUACAAUCACUUGAAUCGAGUGGGAGUUAAUCUUCCAGACGAGAUAGUGAUGGUUCUCCAUAGUCACUGCCACCAAGCUAUUAGAGCUUCGUGAUGAACUAUAACAUAUCAGGGAUAGACAUGAUGAUCCUUGAGCAACUCGCGAUGUUUGACACCGCGAAAGUAGAAAUCAAGAAGGAGCAUCAAUUGUUGAUGGUUAGUAAAACCACUAGUUUCUAGAAGGGCAAGGGCAAGAAGGGAUACUUCAUGAAACGGCAAAUCAGUUGCUGCUCUAGUGAAGAAACCCAAGGUUGAACCCAAACCCGAGACUAAGUGCUUCUGAAAUGAGGGGAACGGUCACUGAAGCAGAACUACCCUAGAUACUUCGUAGAUGAGAAGGCUGGCAAGGUCGACAGAAGUAUAUUGGAUAUACAUUAUAUUAAUGUGUACUUUACUAGUACUCCUAGUAGCACCAGGGUAUUAGAUACCGGUUCGGUUGCUAAGUGUUAGUAACUCGAAAUAAAAGCUGCGGAAUAAACGGAGACUAGCUAAAGGUGAGAUGACGAUAUGUGUUGGAAGUGUUUCCAAGGUUGAUGUGAUCAAGCAUUGCAUGCUCCCUCUACCAUCGAGAUUGGGGUUAAACCUGAAUAAUAAUUAUUUGGUGUUUGCGUUGAGCAUAGACAUGAUUGGAUUAUGUUUAUCGCAAUACGGUUAUUCAUUAAAGGAGAAUAAUGGUUACUCUGUCUAUUUGAAUAAUACCUUCAAUGGUCUUGCACCUAAAAUGAAUGGUUUAUUGAAUCUCGAUCGUAGUGAUACACAUGUUCAUGCCAAAAGAUAUAAGAUAGUAAUGAUAGUACCACAUACUUGUGGCACUGCCACUUGAGUCACAUUGGUAUAAAACGCAUGAAGAAGCUCCAUGUUGAUGGAUCUUUGGACUCACUCGUUUUUGAAAAGAUUGAGACAUGCGAACCAUGUCUAUUAGUAUAUAUGCAUGAAGAAAGUCCAUACAGAUGGAUCAUUUGGACUCACUUGAGACAUGCAAAUCAUACCACAUGGGCAAGUUGACUGAAAGGCCUCGUUUUCAGUAAGAUGGAACAAGAGAGCAACUUGUUGGAAGUAAUACAUUUGAUGUGUGCUGAGGCACGCAGUGGAUAUCGUUAUGUUCUUACUUUACAGAUAAUUUGAGUAGAUGCUGAGAAUAUUUACUUGAUGAAACACAAGUCUGAAUUAUUGAAAGGUUCAAGUAAUUUCAAAGUGAAGUUGAAGAUCGUCGUGACAAGAGGAUAAAAUGUCUGUGAUAUGAUCAUAGAGAUGAAUAUCUGAGUUACGAGUUUGGCACACAAUUAAGAAAUUAUGGAAAUUGUUUCACGACUAAUACCGCCUGGAACACCAUAUUGUGAUGGUGUGUCCGAACAUCAUAACUGCACCCUAUUGGAUAUGGUGCAUACCAUGAUGUCUCUUAUCGAAUUACAACUAUCGUUUAUGGGUUAGGCAUUAGAGACAACCACAUUCACUUUAAAUAGGGCACCACGCAAUUCCGUUGAGACGACACCGUAUGAACUAUGGUUUAGAGAAACCUAAGUUGUCGUCUCUUAAAAGUUUGGGGCUGCGACGCUUAUGUGAAAAAGUUUCGGGCUGAUAAGCUCGAACCCAAAGUGGAUAAAUGCAUCUUCAUAGAAUACCCAAAAUAGUUGGGUAUACCUUCUAUUUCAGAUCUGGAAGCAAAAGUGAUUGUUUAUAGAAACGGGUCCUUUCUCGAGGAAAAGUUUCUCUCGAAAGAAUUGAGUGGGAGGAUGGUGGAGACUUGAUGAGGUCAUUGAACCGUCACUUCAACUAAUGUGUAGCAGGGCACAGGAAGUUGUUCCUGUGGCACCUACACCAAUUGAAGUGGAAGCUUAUGAUAGUGAUCAUGAAACUUCAGAUCAAGUCACUACCAAACCUCAUAGGCCGACAAGGAUGCGUACUACUUCAGAGUGGUACGUAAUCCUGUCUUGGAAGUCAUGUUGCUAGACAACAAUGAACCUACGAGCUAUGGAGAAGCGAUGGUGGGCUCGGAUUCCGACGAAUGGCUUGAGGCCAUAAAAUCUGAGAGGAUCCAUGUAUGAAAACAAAGUAUAGACUUUGAAAGAACUACUUGAUGGUCGUAAGGCUGUUGGGUACAGAUGGAUUUUAAAGGGAAGACAGACAAUGAUGGUAAGUGUCACCAUUAAGAAAGCUCGACUUGUCGUUAAGAUGUUUUCCGGCAAGUUCAAGGAGUUGACUGCGAUGAGACUUUCUCACUCGUAGCGAUGCUAAGAGUCUGUUAGAAUUAUAUUAGCAGUUACUGCAUUAUUUAUGAAGUCUUGCAGAUAGGAUGUCAAAACAUUGUUUCCUCGACGAUUUUCUUGAGGAAAGGUUGUAUGUGAUACAACCAGAAGGUUUUGUCAAUCCUGAAAGAUGCUAACAAGUAUGCAAAGCUCCAACAAUCCUUCUAAGGAUUGGAGUAAGCAUCUCGGAGUUGGAAUGAACGCUUUGAUGAGAUGAUCAAAGAUUUUGGGUUUAUACAAGGUUCAUGAGAAACUUGUAUUUCCAAAGAAGUGAGUGGGAGCACUAUAGAAUUUUUGAUGAGUAUAUGUUGUUAACAUAUUGUUGAUCAGAAAUGAUGUAGAAUUUCUGGAAAGCAUCCAGGGUUAUUUGAAAAGUGUUUUUUAAUGAAAACCUGGAUUAAGCUACUUGAACAUUAAGCAUCAAGAUCUAUAAGGAUAGAUCAAAAACGCUUAAUAGUACUUUCAAAUGAAUACAUACCGUGACAAGAUUUUGAAGGAGUUCAAAAUAGAUCAGCAAAGAAGGAGUUCUUGGCUGUGUUACAAGGUGUCAUUAUUGAGUAAGACUCAAGACCUGACCACGGCAGAAGAGAGAGAAAGGACGAAGGUCGUCCCCUACGCUUUAGACGUAGGCUCUACAGUAUGCUAUGUUGUGUACCGCACCUGAAGUGUGCCUUACCAUGAGUUAGUCAAGGGGUACAACAGUGAUCCGGGAAUGGAUCACAUGACAGCGGUCGAACUUAUCCUUAGUAUCUAGUGGACUAAGGAAUUUUCUCGAUUAUGGAGGUGGUAAAACAGUUUGUCGUAAAGGGUUACGUCGAUGCAAACUUUGACACUAAUCCGGAUGACUCUGAGUAGUAAACCGGAUUCGUAUAGUAGAGCAGUUAUUUGGAAUAGCUCCAAGUAGCGCGUGGUAGCUACAUUUACAAGAUGACAUAGAGAUUUGUAAAGCACACACGGAUCUGAAUGUUGCAGACCCGUUGACUAAAACCUCUCUCAUAAGCAUAACAUGAUCAAACCCUAGAACUCAUUGAGUGUUAAUCACAUGGUGAUGUGGACUAGAUUACUGACUCUAGUAAACUUUGAGUGUUAAUCACAUGGUGAUGUGAACUAGAUUAUUGACUCUAGUGCAAGUGGGAGACUAUUGGAAAUAUGCCCUAGAGGCAAUAAUAAAAUGGUUAUUAUUGUAUUUCCUUGUUCAUGAUAAUUGUCUGUUGUUCAUGCUAUAAUUGUAUUAACUGGAAACCGUAAUACAUGUGUGAAUACAUAGACCACAACAUGUCCCUAGUAAGCCUCUAGUUGACUAGCUCGUUGAUCAAUAGAUGGUUAUGGUUUCCUGACCAUGGACAUUGGAUGUCAUUGAUAACGGGAUCACAUCAUUAGGAGAAUGAUGUGAUGGACAAGACCCAAUCCUAAGCAUAGCACAAGAUCGUGUAGUUCGUUUGCUAGAGCUUUUCUAAUGUCAAGUAUCAUUUCCUUAGACCAUGAGAUUGUGCAACUCCCGGAUACCGUAGGAAUGCUUUGGGUGUACCAAACGUCACAACGUAACUGGGUGGCUAUAAAGGUGCACUACAGGUAUCUCCGAAAGUGUCUGUUGGGUUGGCACGAAUCGAGACUGGGAUUUGUCACUCCGUAUGACGGAGAGGUAUCUCUGGGCCCACUCGGUAAUGCAUCAUCAUAAUGAGCUCAAUGUGACCAAGUGUUUGGUCACGGGAUCAUGCAUUACGGUACGAGUAAAGUGACUUGCCGGUAACGAGAUUGAACAAGGUAUUGGGAUACCGACGGUCGAAUCUCGGGCAAGUAACGUACCGAUUGACAAAGGGAAUUGUAUACGGGAUUGAUUGAAUCCUCGACAUCGUGGUUCAUCCGAUGAGAUCAUCGUGGAACAUGUGGGAGCCAACAUGGGUAUCCAGAUCCCGCUGUUGGUUAUUGACCGGAGAGUCGUCUCGGUCAUGUCUGCAUGUCUCCCGAACCCGUAGGGUCUACACACUUAAGGUUCGGUGACGCUAGGGUUGUAGAGAUAUUAGUAUGCGGAAAUCCGAAAGUCGUUCGGAGUCCCGGAUGAGAUCCCGGACGUCACGAGGAGUUCCGGAAUGGUCCGGAGAUAAAGAUUUAUAUAUGGGAAGUCCUAUUUUGGCCACCGGAAAAUGUUCGGGAUUUUUCGGUAUUGUACCGGGAAGGUUCUAGAAGGUUCUGAAGUGGGGCCCACCUGCAUGGGGGGACCCACAUGAACGUGGGUAGUGGGGGCAAGGCCCCACACCCCUGGUCAAGGCGCACCAAGAUCCCACCUUAGAAGGAAUAAGAUCAUAUCCCGAAGGGAUAAGAUCAAGAUCCUUAAAAAAGGGGGAUAACAAUCUGUGGGGAAGGGAAAUGAUGGGAUUUCUUUCCCCCACCUUUGCCAACGCCCCAAUGGACUUGGAGGGCAAGAAACCAGCCCCCUCCACCCCUAUAUAUAGUGGGGAGGCGCAUGGGAGCAGCACCCCAAGCCCUGGUGCCUCCCUCCCUCCCGUGACACCUCUUCCUCCCCGCUUGCGCUUGGCGAAGCCCUGCCGGGAUCCCGCUACUUCCACCACCAUGCCGUCGUGCUGCUGGAUCUCCAUCAACUUCUCCCCCCUUGCUGGAUCAAGAAGGAGGAGACGUCCCCGCUUCGUACGUGUGUUGAACGCGGAGGUGCCGUCCGUUCCGCGCUAGGAUCAUCGGUGAUUUGGAUCAUGACGAGUACGACUCCAUCAACCCCGUUCUCUUGAAUGCUUCCGCUCGCGAUCUACAAGGGUAUGUAGAUGCACUCCUCCCCUCUCGUUGCUAGCAUCUCCUAGAUUGAUCUUGGUGACACGUAGGAAAAUUUUGAAUUUCUGCUACGUUUCCCAACAGUUAUUGGCAAUGUUGACAUGAAAGAUGUCGGGUACGGUAAAUUUCCUACCAUUCUUUCAGUAUGUCAUUCUCCUGAUUGGUGGAUUGACACCGGUGCCAAUGUACAUGUGUGUUCUGACAUAAACAUGUUUUCUUCUUAUCAGGUCGCAAGAACUACACCCGUGUUGAUGGGAAAUGGGACACAUGCUUCUGUUCAUGGUGUUGGUACGUUCGAUCUGAAGUUUACUUCGGGAAAGAUCGUGCGACUGAAGAACGUGCAGCAUGUCCCUGCUAUAAAUAAAAAUCUCGUCGGCGGUUCUCGUUUGUGUCGAGAUGGUUAUAAAUUGGUAUUUGAGUCCAAUAAGGUUGUAGUAUCUAAGUGUGGACAAUUUGUUGGGAAGGGCUAUGAGAGCGGAGGCUUGUUCCGCUUAUCUUUGUCAGACUUUUGCACUAAAGUUAUUAAUCAUGUUUGCAGUGAAACCGAAUCAAAUGUUUGGCAUUCACGACUUUGUCAUAUUAACUUUGGUGUUAUGAUGCGGCUAGCAAAUUUGAGUUUAAUCCCGAAAUUUACAAUUGUCAAAGGUUCUAAGUGCCAAGUUUGUGUGCAAGCAAAGCAACCUCGCAAGUCCCAUACGACUGUUGAGGCGAGGAAUUUGGCACCACUUGAACUCAUACAUUCAGAUCUUUGCGAGAUGAAUGGUGUGUUGACAAAAGGUGGAAAAAGAUAUUUCAUGACUCUAAUCGAUGACUCUACUAGAUAUUGCAUGAUAUAUUUGUUGAAAACAAAAGAUGAGGCUUUGCACUACUGUAAAAUCUAUAAAGCCGAAGCAGAGAAUCGACUCGAUCGAAAGAUCAAAAGGCUUAGGUCGGAUCGUGGUGGAGAGUAUUUUUCCAACGAGUUCAAUUUAUUUUGUGAGGAACAUGGUAUAAUACAUGAGAGGACGCCUCCCUAUUCUCCCCAGUCAAACAGGGUUGCCGAACGAAAGAACCGAACUCUAACUGAUUUGGUUAACGCCAUGUUAGAUACAGCGGGACUUUCCAAGGAAUGGUGGGGGGAGGCUUUGAUGACUGCAAGUCAUGUCCUAAAUAGAGUUCCCACAAAGAAUAAAGAGAUUACCCCGGUUGAAGAAUGGGAAAGGAAAAGGCUUAAACUUUCCUACUUAGGAACUUGGGGUUGUUUGGCUAAGGUCAAUGUACCAAUUACCAAGAAGCGUAAGCUUGGGCCAAAAACAGUUGAUUGUGUUUUCCUGGGUUAUGCAUUCCAUAGCAUUGGCUAUAGAUUUCUAGUGGUGAAAUCUGAGGUACUUGACAUGAAUGUUGGUACAAUCAUGGAGUCGAAUGAUGCGACUUUCUUUGAGGAUAUUUUUCCUAUGAAGGAUAUGCCUAGCUCAUCUAGUCAGAGGUUAGAGACAACUCCUGCACCUACUGUUCCAUUGGAACAUUCCGAGAAGAAAUACACAUAUAUUCCCGAGGAUGGCAAUGAAACUUCUAGAAGGGGCAAGAGACAAAGGACCGCGAAAUCAUUUGGUGAAGAUUUCAUUGUGUAUCUCGUGAAUGAUACUCCCACUUCUAUUUCAGAAGCUUAUUCAUCUCCGGAUGCUGACUACUGGAAAGAAGCUGUGCAUAGUGAGAUGGAUUCCAUCAUGGCUAACGGGACAUGGGAGAUCACUGAUCGUCCUUAUGGGUGUAAACCUGUAGGGUGUAAGUGGGUGUUUAAGAAAAAGCUUAGGCCCGAUGGUACAAUUGAAAAGUACAAGGCGCGGCUUGUAGCCAAGGGAUAUACCCAAAAAGAAGGUGAAGAUUUCUUUGAUACUUAUGCGCCUGUGGCCAGAUUGACCACCAUUCGAGUACUACUCUCAUUGGCCGCCUCACACAAUCUUCUUGUCCAUCAAAUGGACGUUAAGACAACUUUCCUAAAUGAAGAGUUGGAGGAGGAAAUUUACAUGGAACAACCCGAUGGUUUUGUAGUAGAUGGUCAUGAAGGAAAAGUGUGUAAAUUGUUGAAAUCUUUGUAUGGUUUGAGACAAGCACCUAAGCAAUGGCACGAGAAGUUCGAAAGAACUUUGACUUCUACGGGCUUUGUUGCAAACGAAGCCGACAAGUGUGUGUACUAUCGCCAUGGUGGGGGCGAAGGAGUUAUAUUAUGUUUGUAUGUUGAUGACAUACUUAUAUUUGGAACAAAUAUCAAGGUCAUUCAGGAAUUGAAAGAUUUUCUGAAUCAAAACUUUGAGAUGAAAGACCUUGGAGUAGCUGAUGUUAUCUUGAACAUCAAGAUUUUAAGAGGUGGUGAUGGUGGGAUCACUCUCUUGCAGUCUCACUAUGUGGAGAAGAUUCUAGGUCGCUUUGGAUAUUUAGAUUGCAAACCUUCUCCGACACCUUAUGAUCCGAGUGUUUUGAUUCGGAAGAACGAAAGAGAAACAAAGGAUCAAUUGAGAUAUUCUCAAAUCAUUGGCUCGCUUAUGUAUUUAGCUAGUGCUACGAGGCCUGACAUCUCGUUUUCUGUGAGUAAACUAAGCCAGUUUGUUUCAAACCCGGGAGAUGUUCAUUGGCAUGCACUUGAGAGAAUAAUGCGCUAUCUGAAAGGUACUGCGAGUUAUGGGCUUCACUAUACCGGGUAUCCAAGAGUACUUGAAGGUUAUAGUGAUGCAAAUUGGAUAUCUGAUGCUGAUGAGCUUAAAGCGACAAGCAGUUAUGUGUUUACACUUGGUGGUGCUGCUGUUUCCUGGAAGUCUUGCAAGCAGACCAUCUUAACAAGGUCAACAAUGAAAGCAGAACUCACAGCAUUAGACACGGCAACAGUUGAAGCAGAAUGGCUUCGAGAACUUUUGAUGGACUUGCCGGUGGUUGAAAAACCAAUACCAGCUAUUCUAAUGAACUGUGAUAAUCACACAGUGAUCGUCAAGAUAAACAGUUCUAAGGAUAAUAAGAAGUCAUCAAGACACGUGAGAAGGAGACUGGAAUCUAUCAGGUUCAUGAGAAACUCCGGAAUUAUAGCGUUGGACUAUAUAAACACAUCGAAGAAUCUGGCAGAUCCCUUCACAAAGGGUUUAUCACGAAAUGUGAUAGACAAUGCAUCGAAGGAGAUGGGAUUGAGACCCACUACAUAAGUUGUUCAUGGUGGUAACCCAUUCUUUGUGAUCGGAGAUCCCGUGAAUUAGAAUUGGCGAGACAAGCUAUUGAAUAACUAAGAGGAGAAUAUUUAUUUGACAAAAAUCCACUCCGCCAUGAUGCAAUUCUCUCCUAAUCUGUAUGGUAGGCUGAUAUUUAUCUUAAUGUGUUCUGAAUGACUUGGGUAGGCAAAGAUGUUGUCCUACAGAACAUCUAGAAAGAACACACCUAUAUGAGUUAGACUGUUAAACGUCGCGGUCUGUGAGAGUUGGGUGUUCUCUAAAAACUCAUGAAGAGGCCCCGGAGUAUGACGUAUAUGCUCCUACCCGCGGGAAAGUUUUCAGCGGUCUAGUAUCGGUCAAGGCUUUUACGUGAAACUUGUUUGCACAAAACUUGCAGUUCAAGGCGUAGUCCACUGUUCAAGUUGUGAGGCGUAGUCCACUGUUCAAGUUGUGAAUGAGUGUAGCGUGGAGUUCUAGGUGGAAGUUCAACUUAACAGUCUCCACCGAAACACCGGUAUAUAAACAAUGUUUUGGAAUGGUAGGAAAAUUUAUGUGCCUCUGGGAUCUGGUGGGGGAUUGUUGGAGUUAUUGGCCAUAACCCAUAUAAUAAUUCAUAUUUUGUGCCAAUAAUUCAAAGUAAAUCCCAGAGGCUCAUGUGGCCCAUCCAUGCAUGACAAGGUUGUGUGGAAAAUUGACCAAUGCCACGUGUAUGCGCUGUUUUAUCACGCGAGAAGAAAGUUGAAACAAUUGACACAUAAAUGGGAGAAGAAACUGAACACUUCGUGUGAGUUUUAGUGCGCUCGUUUCUUCUCUCCUUAAUGGUUUUUAGUGCGUCUGUUUAAUGGUGUUUAUUGCACCGGUUUCUCUUCUACUAAUGAAGGCCAGUUUCAACUCUUCUCACGUAUAUAAGAGGUCGCUCCUCUGUUGUUCCAAGCAGCACAACAACCUUUCGUCUCAUUCCAAAGCAUUGAGCCGCCUAUCUCUUUCCCAUCUCUCUUCCUGGCGUGCACCGGGAAGUGAGACAGCAGGCCUCCGAAACCCCGCCUCUUGUGAUCCGGUACGGGAGAGGGGCGAUCAGGUUUUUGGGGAGCGUCCUUACGCGACUGCUGGAGUCUUGUUCAUCGUGGCUGCGAACGGCGACAUCACCGACGACGAGUUCCCUAACGACGACUUCUUCCCCGACGUCAACGACCUCUUCAGCGACAUGACGAUCGGGACAUCUGCACCUUCUGCUACUGCGCCGUAUGCCAUCUUAUCCUCACUGUUAGGGCUAGCAUUUGGUUUAUUGCUAAUAGCAAUUGACAUGGAUAUGAUGCAUUUUGCUUAUGAUUUUGAUUGCAUGACUAGUCGCAACGAAUUGUUGCUAGUUUCUAGUUUCAUCAAUAUAUUGCUAUUCAUGUUUUAUCCAUUAUUUUCCUGGAUUAAACUAAACGGGAAAAUGCCUAAUUUUUCAACAGAAUCAUUCAAAAAAAAGAGACAAAUUGCGGCCAUGAAUUAAAAACCCUAGCCAUACAAUUUAGAGAAAAAGAAUUAGAUAAAAUUAAACAAUUAUAAUACCUUUAAAUGUGGACCCUGGUUGUAUAGUUUAGAGAACGAGAAUUACACAAUUAAGAUACAUACAUGACCUAACUCAGAGUCAAUCUAUUUCCUCCAAUUAUACAUCGAUCUGCCGACUCGAUCCAGUAGCGACCGAGGGCAGGGACGGGCGCUUGGUGUGCGUCUCUAACUGAGCAGGCGACAGCGGAGAGGAGGCAGAGGCGGCGAGCAACCGAAUAGAACACGUACUACAUAGAGGGCUACGCAAAGGAGGGGCUCGAUCCAAUUGACCCAAACCAGACUACGUGCAUGCAGCAUGCCCCAAUCAAUCAAAAGCCGGAUGAGCUACUAUUAUUGGCAGCUCUAAAUUUUAUCGGUGUCCAAGCCCAACAUCUCAGCUUUUUUUUUCAAGAAAACUUCCAAUCUAUUCAUCUUUAAUCAUGUCAGUACAACGAACACCAAGCUAAACCAAAAUUCCACCCGGUGUCCUGUGACACCGGCCAGCUCUAUGUAGGUCCGUCCCUGCUAGCACCAGUGAUCCUUCUUUUUUGGUUGAGAGUUGCAGAACGGAUCUCAUACGUACAUUAAAGACUACAAGCAUGAUUUAUGAACUCUUUGACACUUUGCACAAGUACCCCUGGAGAAAAUAAAAAUAUAGUAAGGUCCCUAGAGUUCCUUGUGUCUCUCUCCUUUGGACACCACCAUGCUUGGCCAAUGAGAACGAAGAAAACCUACAUUGCACCACUGCACCUCUAACGAUUUAUGAACCUCAUGUGGCGGAAACCAUUUUAUUUAUAGCUUGUCAGCCAAGGCGGAUCCCACACUUGUUAGCCUCCGGGACCGCCUCCACCCAACACCGUCGAAGGAGAACACAAGCUCCAAUAUUCCCCAACCACAAGCCCCGACGAGCAAAAACCACCCUCUAGUAAGUGCAAGACGGUACGAUCAUCAAGCCUUAUUGGACGUGGUGCAUCUUCUUCCACCCCAACAACACCAUCAACAAACCCUAACAUAACUCUAUUUAUAGGACAAACACGAGAAAAGCGUACCCACUCCACCCGCCGAAGCGGGGACGGUAGAAUGAGAGGCAUCCAAAGGGAAACGAAAAGUUUGUAGCAUCAUAUAUGAUCAAAGAAACUUCUUGUAAUCGCCAAAAAAGGCUACCUUAAAUGCGUUUUCUUUUCUUUGUAAACGUUGUUGUAAACGAGUUUGAAAAAAAAUCGUAUGUCAAAAGAUAACAGGAGAACAAAAAGAUCAAUGGUUUGGCCGCCGUCACAAUCACGCCAACCUUUUCUAGAUACCCUAACCAAAUGAACGCGCCUUAGAUUGCCUCGACAAAGUGGGGAACGGUCUGUGACAGGCUUUGUUGGAAGCGGCACAACCUUUUCCUCGCAGCGACUCGCUGACAGCACUAAUAAGCCCUACCCUACUUGUAUCUAUAUAGGCCAGGCAAGAGGGCAUGAUUCCCCCUUCUCCAUACACAAGAGCGGCAGACAGAAGAGAAGGAAACCCACAUGCCCCCAGACGAGCGGGCAUCACAAGAAGAACAACAAGUUUAUAGCAUAAUGGAGCGGUACAAGUUUGUAAUAAAUCAUCAACAAUUAAUAUAGAUGAGUGAGUACCCUAAUUGAGUAUUUUUUUUCUUUGUACUGUAAAAUUUGCUAAAAAAUUAAUUUUAGUUUGAGAUCAAAUGUGCUCCAAAUGAGCUGAACAAAAAAAUAUUGCACAAACAUAACGAGAGAACACCUUGUAAACGGGCCCACUCCAGAAAGCGGCACCCAGAUGAGAGCGAGACCGACGCGUGGGGCCCACUCCAGAGCACCCACGGAAAUCCAGGCCUCCGCCAAGCUCUCCCACCUCAAGUCCCCCUCCAAGCCCGACGCCGUCCUCGCCUUCCUCGCCGGCCUCGGCCUCUCCGGCGCCGACGUGGCCGCCCUCGUCGCCAGGGACCCCCGGUUCCUCUGCGCCGGCGUGGGGACAAUAAUGGCCCCCAACGUCGCCGCGCUCACCGGCCUCGGCCUCUCGCGUCCUGACAUCGCGCCUCGUCUCGGUUGCCGGCGACCACUUCUGCCGUAGAUCCAUCGUCGCCAAUCUACAGUACUGCCUGUCCCUCUUCGGCUCCACCGAGAACUUCCUCCGUGCUCUCAAGCGCAAGGGAUCCUGCAUUCUCUUGGCUGACCUCGAUAGGGUGGUCAAGCCCAAUGUCGCGCUCCUGCGAGAGUUUGGGCUUGGUCCUUGUGCUAUUGCCAAGCUUUGUGUCGCUCAGCCAUGGUUCCUCACCUGCAACGUAGAGCGUCUCUGGUCGAUGGUGGUGUGCGUCGAAGGUCUGGGUAUACCCCGAGGACCUGGGAUGUUUAGGCAUGCACUCAAUGCUGUUGCAUUCGUCAGCGAGUAGAAAAUCGCCGCCAAAGUGGAGCACCUGAAGAAAAAGUUCAGGUGGUCGGAUGCUGAGGUGGGCAUUGCUAUUUCUAAGGCUCCAAAUGUGCUGAACAAGACUAGGGAGUUUCUGCAGAGAAGGUCAGAGUUCCUCAUCUCUGAUUUGGGGUUGGAACCGGCAUACAUUGCUCGUCGCGCGGUAAUGCUCUCGUACAGCCUGGAGGGCCGGCUAAGGCCCCGGAGCUAUGUUGUGAAGUUUCUUAAGGCAAAUGGAUUGCUAGAUCCCGACCGGGACUUGUAUUCCGUGCUUGUAGUGACUGAGAAGGUAUUCAUGGAGAGGUACAUAUUCCCUCACAAGGAAGCUGCACCAUGCCUCGCUGGAGACUAUGCUGAUGCUUGCAAAGGCCUAAUGCCGACUAAUUUCAGAUUUACAUGAAGCAAGGAUUGGUUAUGGAAAUCGGUAACUGUGUAUGGCAUGACAGUUUUCACCAUUCAUAGUAAGCUGGUAAUUCACAUUAGUUUUUUUUUCCUAAAUAGAGAUUGAUUUUCUGCUGUAGUAUGUCUUCCAUAUGCUGGUUUGGUCGCUGCUAAUGCCUAAUGAAAUUGAUAGUUUAAUUCAUGAACCCUGUGGUGUUGAUGUAAUGAUGUUCUAGUUAAGUAGACAUGAAAGCAUCGCCUGCAAUCUCUGGAAUCGAGAGUCCAAGAAUAUAUUUGUGUUUCUGACUUCCAUUUUUAGGAUAAUGGAAAUUGAAUAUGCGGGCAGACCAAUUUUCUUGUGAAACCAGAACCCAGAGAAUCAGAAAGGAUGAGAACUGUAUUGCAUCGUUUUCCAGUAAAUAUAUCAUAUGAGUUGCUUUCAUCCACAUUUUUAUUUCCAUUUCCAUUUCUGUCUUUUUUUUUGUUCUCAUCAUUUACAGUUCAUUUUUAUAUCCAGGUUAUGUUUAGAAAAUAUAUGCUUCUAUUGGGUGUCUUAUUAUGCCUUUUGGUUUCUUUCCCAUUAUCCUUCUAAGAUUUAAUAUCUUUGUUCCUAAAUCCUGUACCUGAUUUUACUUCCGCUGAGAAAAUUUCAAACUUGAAAAGGUAAUCUAUUUGGGACUAAACCAUGAUCAACAAUGAAUUAGUCUUGUCAUUUACAACUGUCAUAGUUUGUCAGAACUAGAGGGUCUGCUCAGGCCCUGAUACUAUGCUGUAAUGUUUCUCAAGGAAAUGGAUUGCUCAAGCGCAACCUGAGCUACAAUACCGUUUUCAUGGUGGCUGAGAAGGUUUUCAUUGAAAUUUUUCAUAUUGCCCUCACAACGAAGCUGUCCCCGCACCUUGCUAAAGAAUAUGCUGCCACUUGCAGAGGGGAAGUAGUGCCAUCUACUUUCAGAUUUUUUCUUGGAAUACUUUUUUCUAGGAACUGACAGCAUUUAUUUUGGUCCUAGCUGUUUAUGUUAUGAAAAAUACUUGGCUGUUCCCCGGAUACUUAGAAUUUUGGCUACCUUUGGAAAACUUUAUAUUGCUUUGCAAUAUUAAAUGAACUUUAAAUGCAUUAUAUAUCUUGAGGACUACUAGGACUGAAGCUGUAGCUGUCGGGUGCAUUUUAUGCCAAUAUCCACACAUACUGUACAUGUUAAAGUUGGACUCUUGGAGUUAACGAGUUGCCAUUGCGGUUGACACACUUGAGUUAUUUUCCCCUUGUUUUAUUUUUAUUUGUGUCACUCCUGUUUGCACACAGACCCAUGUUAUGGUUGAGUAGAUAAGCUGGCAGCGAAAUCGGACCGACGGAUGGACGGAAGGUGCUUUGAAAUCGUUGCUCUGGCGCCAUAUAUUAUAUGCAGUCCUAAGUUUUUUUCUCUUUUAUUUAGGGGAGCAUCAUCAGGUUUAAUAAGUGGCUAUUUUUUGGGGGGCGCAAAAAAAGAAAAGAAAGGAAAGAACCGUUGUUUGUAGGCAAUGUGAUUUCAAUUUGGUUAGUUACAUCUCCAGAGGCGCGUCCUUCCCAGCCCUCUCGAACUAGGUAAAGGCGUAUCAAUGUUCUAACGCCCACACCAGAUAUGGGUUCUCGAUUCUACGACGAUUUUUAUGAAGGCAUUUUAUUUGCUUUUCUUCGAUGGAAGUUUCAUUUUUGCUACAAUGUAUCCCAAGAAUCAUCGACCGAGUCGAUGCUCAAUCUCAGGUCAUCUUCUUGCAAUCACAAAGGAAAAGAAAGAAAUAUUUAACUCAUCAAAAUAUUGUCAGUCACUCAAUUUUAUUUUAUUUUUGAGAAAAGACGGGGCAUCAGAAAGAAAAGAGUGUAAGCCCAGGGCAGGGGGGCAGCCCAGGCCCUUUCACGCAGACGAAAAGCCCAGCCCACCAGUAUAUGUCAAUGUGAGAGAGACUGACCCACGGCUUCCCCCAGCUCCCUCCCUCCCUCGCCGCCGGCGCCGCCAUGCUCCGGCGCCGAGGCCGCGUCCUCAUCCAGAUGCUCUCCUCUCCAUCCGCCUCCACCAGCUCCCCUCUCCACCGCCUCAUAUCCGCCACCCGACCACACGUAAACGCGCGGAGCAGCAUCCUCUCCUCUCCCCGCCGCCUCCUCUCCGGUGCCACAGCCCCCGUCGUCUCCCCGAACCCUAGCUUCGCCGUGGAGGAGUACCUCGUCUCCACCUGCGGCCUCACCCGACCGCAGGCACUCAAGGCCUCCCCCAAGCUCGCCCACCUCAGGUCCGCCGCCAACCCGGACGCCGUCCUCGCCUUCCUCGCCGGCCGUGGCCUCUCCGGCGCCGACGUCGCCGCCCUCGUCGCCAAGGACCCCAAGUUCCUCUGCGCCGGCGUGGACAAGGGCCUGUCCCCCAUCGUCGCGGGGCUCUCCGGCCUCGGUUUGUCAGAUCCCGAGAUGGCGCGCCUCCUCUCGCUCGCCCCACACAAAUUCCGCUGCAGAUCCAUCGUCGCCAAGCUGCACUACUACCUGCCCCUCUUCGGCGGCUCCUUGGAGAAGCUGCUCCGGGCCAUCAACUUCACCAACCUCCUCUGCUGCAAGGGGAGGGUGGAGCCCAACGUCGCGUUCCUGCGCGAGUGCGGGCUGGGUGAUGGCGACAUUGCCAAGCUGUGCAGCUCGAGGAUGGUCACCGCCAACAUGGAGCGUGUUCGGACAAUGGUGGCAUUGACCGAAGGCCUCGGCGUGCCCCGGGGGUCCGGAAUGUUCAGGCAUGCUCUGAGUGCCGUCGCAUUCCUCGACGAGAAGAAGAUCACAGCCAAAGUGGAUCACCUGAAGAAGACGGUCGGGUGGUCGGAUGCUGAGGUGAGCAUUGCUCUCCCUAAGGCACCGUUUCUGCUCGCCAAGUCGAACGAAUCGCUGCAGCAUGGGUCCGAGUUCCUCGUCUCUGAGGUUGGGUUGGAACCGGCGUACAUUGCUCGUCGGCCGGUACUGCUCUGUUACAGCCUAGAGGGCCGGAUGAGACCCUGGUACUACGUUUUAAAGUUUCUCAAGGAAAAUGGAUUGCUCAAGCGCGACCCCAGCUACUAUACUGUUUUCAAGGAGACCGAGAGGUAUUUCGUGGAGAAGUUCAUAUGCCCUCACAAGGAAGCUGCACCAUACCUCGCUGAAGACUAUGCUGCCGCUUGCAGAGGGGAAGUGCCCGCUAGAUUUAGAUAUACAUGAACCAAGAAUUCUGAGUAAUAUAUGUAGAAUCGCGAUGUAGUUCUUAAGCCAGCUAUGUUUUGGUCAUUAUUUUGUAGUGGAGAAGAACAUACAUGUUUUCUGAAGAUUUAUGUGGCUUUCUAAAAUCUAUCCUUUGAUUAUGUACUGAUUUCUCCUUUGUGGCAUGCUAAUCAGAAGAUUACUUUAUAUGUUCAGCUCUUACUUCAUAAUCGGCAUGGGAAGUUCACUGCUUCAUAAAUAUUCAUAAAUAUUUUUUAUUGCCAUUUUGUGAAUUUCAGUUCAUGCCAUGGUUAUCUUGACUUUCAGGAUUAUUGGUUGCAGCAUCAGAGAAAGGUAGGACACAAGCUGUAGGUGCAUGCCAACUUCAAAGGUUAGAGACCCCAGAUCUGGGAGAGGCAGUGCUGAUUGAGGAGGGCAGCUGGAAGACGUGACGACCCAACAACCUGGAACAUCGACGCUUAAGCUUUGGUAUGAGAUAUAUGGGAUUUUGUCAAGCCGGUCUUCCAAAACUGAAAGGAAUUUUCUGUCUAUGAAGCAGGCGACUUGGGAUGAUUAUCGGAUGUCAUUCAAUUACUUUUAGAUGAUGCCCAUCAUCUUUUUGUGCAGUUCAUGCUGGCAACCUUGUUAUUGUGCUUGCUGGUUGAUGAUAGUGUCUGUGCAAUGAUAUAAGCUUGCUAAACGAAACCCAUGUGGGGUGCUUCAUAAUGUAGAGACCUUUACUUUCUGCUUCUUUUUCAUCACUAACAUAUGUUCACAAAAAAUGGGCACCCGCAUUUACCAAAACAAACUGUGAGCUGCAUUGGUUUCAGUUGCACACAUCACUGAAUUGAGUGGUGGCCUCACUUUCUUUCUUGAUAGCAGGGCAGCUAAAGAAACUGAUUUGGCAUUUUGAUUUUUCCCCAUCAUGCUCUAAUUGGUUCGCAUGACCUGUCAGCUAUCCUGUGUAGAAUAUGCAUGUUCUUUCAGCAUUGCUAAACCUGCAUGGAACUUAAUUCGCUAAGUACGUCCUAUUCCAUGAUGUAACUUGUGAUCUUGAUCUGAAUGAGCUAUAGUAUGUUCUACGUAGUAUGUUCGAUACAGUUGGUUUGUAGCUUGUGAUCUUGAUGUGAAUGAGCUAUAGUAAGUUCCACUACAGUAGUAUCUUCAUUGCAGUUAGUUUGUACUGGAUCUAUCAGGGAUGUUAUGUAACUCAAGAAGAUGUUGCUUACCGUUUGCAAAUUGUUAAAUUAUUUCAUGGCGUCGGCUUAUGUUUGCUCCUUGCACUCACCAUCUAUAUGGUUGUUGUGUCAGGUGGGAGCAUGGAGUGUACAGCCUUGCUUGUUUGUGCUAUGGCCCGAUAAGCUGGCCGUGGGUAUCAGACCCCCUGGGAGUGGAUGCAGGACACUGGAUUCGUCGUCAGGUGAAUUCAGUUCUCUAGCACAUGACAGACUCGUGCAUAUCAAUCAUUUGGACAUGCAUAAUGCUAUAUCUGUUGUUAGAACUUAGCCCCUGUAUGGAAUGCACGAGGUAGGAAGGCACCUAUCGCAAAUGAAGGGCUAUUGUGUCAUUGCCAAACCACUAACUCGGCUAUUGAAGCAGAAGCAGUUUGAGCUCAGGAGGCUUUUGAGGCUUUGAAGCUAGCGAUGAGCUCUAGUCCUGUUCUCGUAUUGCCAGACUUCAAUAAGCAACUCUAUCUGAAAAUUGAUGCUUGCGUCGCAUGUAUUGGAGCAGUACUUUCUCAAUAUUGGGGAGGGGGGACGGGGGUGAGAGAGAGGUGUGGUCUCUCCAGCAUCCUAUACUGAGGUUCUGGGUAGAUCAAGAUCUGAAAGUGAGAAAAAUCUGACCAAAAAAAUGAAUCACAGCACAAAUAUCAAAGCUGAUCAAGGGCAGGAACAAAUUAAACUGAUUUUAAGAAAUAGAACAAAUCAUUAAAUAGAUGCCAAAGGAACAGAAGGAAAAAACAGUGCAAAUUAUGUCGAGUAUGUUUAUCAUAUGCAUGGUCAAAACCACAAAUUACUCCUGAUCGGUCGAUGUGCAAACAAUGAGAUAAGGUAGGGCACAUAUGCUUAUAUGAAUGCAUGGUUGAUAAGUACAUCAGAUACACGAACAUGGAGUAUGUAAACAGACAUAAUUGACUCUAAUUAAAUCCAUGGUCACUAUCAGUGAGGAUUAUUAACGUUUUCCUCACGAGGCAUAGGAACCCAAAUUGGUAUUUGGUUCUCUGCACAUAGCCCACUUUGGGUUCUUAAUCACGUCUGAGUACUUGAUACAAUGCCUGGAAUUAACAUUCAGCUUGGAAGGUUAUCUGCAAGUAACUUAUAAACAACUAACGACAAUACAUACUCCUUCAGCUUGCUAUUUUUCUACAGGAAAGGUUUUCACCUGAAUCUAUAAAUAUUUCAAUUUUUCUCACACACUUGUUAGCUUCGUAAUUGUUUUUUUUUAAUAAAUGCAGAUGAAGCACAUUUCAUCAACUCCCUUCCGUGACGCCUCGAACGAAUUAGAAGAAGUACAACUGCCUGAAGAAAUACAGGAGUACAUUAACACCAAAUAUCCUUCAGUGCACAACAUUCAGGUAAAUUGAUAUAUGCAGAUUGUACUUACUAGUUUUUCUUAAACUCAAACAGGAGCUUUCCGACUGCUUUUAUCCUACUAUAAAACUCUCUUUAACUCCCAUUACUCCAUUUUGAACUGGUGUCAGGAGAAGAAAAUGCUCGAACAUUGCAGUCAGAAGUUUUGGCAAACAAUUCUAAAAAAACUCCAUACCAACUGUGAAAACUUACAUCGAGGAUGUCCACAGCUCAGACUACACCAACAGUGCCUCCAGUGAUACAAGUCAUUCCAGAGCUACAAAAUUGCCAUCUACUUCAAACAUCCAGCUGUCUUCUACUGCGACAAGUACUUGUGUCCCACAGUUUACAAAAGAAUUGAAACCAGAGAUAGACUCAUUCAUAUCUUUCUUCGAUUUCUUGGAUUUUCCUAUGCCUGCUAAACAUCCUUCAAGUUAUGAUUCGGAAAUCAGCAAUUUACAGGUUGAUUUGUUCAUACACAAAUUCUCUGAAUGCUUAAAUCUGGACAUUUCGGCAAACAAUAAGUUUCUUUUCACUAUCGGCUCACCAAGUUCUCAGGUGUUAGAAUGGCAAGAGGUUUUCAACAAAGACCAAACCAACAAAAUUUACAGCGAUAAUCAGACUACACCUUCGCAAGGUACCCAAUUUUUUUUGGCCAUUUCAUUAUUAUUUCUUUACUCCACAAACCUUCUUUUUAUCUAAGCAAAUUUUCAGAUGCACUUUUGUAGUCUUUCAUGGAGGUAAUCCCUUUCUCUGUUUUCAAUAAAAUUGUAGUCCUAUUCGAAUCCAUGAAAAGAGACCCGGCGUGGAAAGAGUUGCAUGCUUCAGACAGCUUAAUUUCAUACAAGAAAAGUUUAAAAAUGAAGCCUUCCCAUACCAGUUAUUAAGUUUGGGCAUUGCAUACAAUAAAAUGGGCUUUAUUUGACCCAACUUUGGAGGCUUAAGGACGUGCAUGGAGGGGGGCGAAACGUUCGCUCAAACUGAUCGUUCCCAUGGACGAUCAGUUUCGCUGGGGAAUCAUAUUCCGCGCGUAGGUCGGUAUGUAGCGACCUAGCGCAUACCCCCCUUCAUACGCGUCGUCCUCUUCUGUGUUGGCCCAUUCCGGGACCUUCCCCUACCAGUUUUGGGAAGGUUCUAGAAACUUUUAUGAACCAUUUUCCCCUUUUUUAUUUUUUUCUUUUUCUUUUCGUUUUUUCCUUUUUCUUUUCCGGGUCCCGAACAUCUUUUCAAAUUUGUGAAUAUUUUUCAAAACUAUGAAUAUUUUUUUGAAUUCAUGAACUUUUUUCUAAAAUCGUGAACAUUUUUUCAAUCGUGAACCUUUUUUUGAAUUCACGAACAGUUUUUUAUGAAAUAGUGACGAUUUUUGAAAUUGAGGAACAUUUUCUAUCUUUUGCGACCAACUUUUUUUAAAAAUUAUGAACAUUUUUUUGUAACUCAUGAACAUUUUUUUGAACCAAAGAACAUUUUUUGAAUUGGCGAACUUUUUUUGAAUGAGGAAACAUUUUUUAAAUCGAUGAACACUUUUAGAAUAAGUGCGCAUUUUUUUAAAUCAUGGUCAUUGUUUUUGUGAACAUUAAAAAAUUCAUGAACUUUUUUUGAAUUCAUAAAUUUUUAUUUCAAAUUCACGAUUUUUUUCAAAGUUAUGAACAUUUAUUUUAAUCCACGAAAUUUUUAUGAUUUCAGGAACAAUUUUCCAGAAUUCACAUUUUUUUAAAAAAUUGGAACUUUUUUAAAAUUCUAAAUUAUUUUAAAGAAAAUAAAAACAAAAACCCAAAUGAAAAAUAGGAGGGGCAUCCCGGCCCGCUCAUUGUCCGGCCAAAUAGGGGUGCGCAUGAGGGGAGGACGUGCACGCUGGCUUGUUUGCUAGCGUGUCACGCGCGGUAUAGGAGGUCCCCGGUUCGCCAGCGUCCCCUCCCCUAGGAACCAGCGUCAGUUAUUAGGGUCCAUAUCAAAAACCUAUAUUACCAUGUUUGGACAUUCGUCUACGCAAAAAAAAAAAGUUUAGCGAGCAUGUACAAACUUGCUCCUUACCUCCAUUCCGAAUUACUUAUCUUAGAUUUUUUUUAGGGGUAACUAGGGCUUUAUUCCAAAUUCAAAACAUCCAGGAUGCAAACAAUGUCUGGUACAACCCCUAGCCACACAUACCUACCAAGAGAAAGGGAAGAAGCUCCCUUAGCAAUUGAAUGAGCUUCGAAGUUGGACUCUCUAUGUUCGAAGCAGAAAGAAACAGCAUCAAAAGAUCUACUACUAAACUAAAUGUCUCGCGAGAUCAUAGCAUAUGGCGAAACAGCUCCCUUCUUGAUGUUGCUGACGACUUUCCAAACAAUCUAAGGCGGUGAUCAUUUUAUGUAGAUUGAGGUCGUGCGCAAGGGAGAGGCCUUCGCUGCAUGCUAGCGCUUCCAGAGUACCUGGAUCAACCAGACCCUAAAAAACAACCGUCGAAGCCCCCAAAUGGUUCCCUGCACCAUCUCUGCAGAUCGCUGCCUCGCCGCCGCGACCCCUUUGUCUCCCAGAAUUGAGAUACCUCCUUCCACAUUAAUCUUACAUGCAUCACUAGGCCCCAGAAUUGAGAUACCUCCUUCCACAUUAAUCUUACAUGCAUCACUAGGCGGAGGAAUCCAACGUCGCGGUCUUGUGAUGUUAACUUGUGGUUGCUGAGAACGCGCAUCGUCUCGGACCGCCAUAAUCUGGAGGUCCUCCAAGUACCUGUUAAUAGACCCCCAUGGCAGUGAGAGGGGUCUGAAAUUGUUCAUCAUGGACUAUUCGCCGUCUUGCCCGCCAAAUCGCCCACAUGGUAACCAGUAGUUACUCUUUUUUUAGGGAAAGCCUUAUUUUUAGUGGUAAACCCGACUUUUAUUGAUUAUUGUUUCGGUUUACAGGAAUGACAAAGGGAUCAUGGGGUUCUCCCAGCCACACAUGGCGUCCCUGAACUAAAGAAGUAGAAAACUUUGCUAUAUUAUGAGCAUCUAUGUUCCCUUUCCGACCUUCAAAGAUGAAAUCACAUCGAGCAAAAAGUCUCGCCUGAGCUUGGAUCUCCUUGAUGAUAUUGUUGUAUCUUCCUUCUGACCCCAUCUUGAUUUCCUCCACCACGGUCUUGCAGUCACAUGCCACAACAAUGUGGUCUGCAUAUAGAUCCUGAGCCAGAGAGCCUCGCGGCAAGCUAAAGCUUCCAGCAUUGGUGGGUCAUUUAUUUCAUCAAAAACCAUUGCUGAAGAUCCAAGGAAAAAUCCUUCAUGGUUCCUUCCGAUGGUAGUCGCUGCCCCUCUUCUCCCAUUUCUUGAAACUCCCCCAUCAACUUGAAUUUUAAUAGAUCCCACUUCAGGCGCCCUCCAUCCUUGCCCAGUAGCAAGCCUCGGACCUCCAUGUUGUUCAUCAUUUGGUGUCGCCCGCCCGGCCUGGAUGGUUGCCAGUUCUGCGAUAAAGUUUGUAACAAAAGAAUGAGUCGCGUGUGGGCUUUGGAGCUCACCCUCAUGGAUAGCCCUUCUUCUUGCCCACCAUAUUGCCCACAUGGUCACCACCAUCGUAGCCAGACUGUCUCGAGGUAGAUGAUCAAAGGCUGAGAACAACCACACCCUGGCAUUCGGCUCUGCCGACGACUGUAGGAAGUCUAGAAUAUUUUCAUCUACCAGAGCCCACACGCACCUUGCCACUGAACAUUCAAACAGAGAAUGUCGCCAUGAAUCUCUCAUCCCGCAAAGCUGGCACUUGUCAUCAUCCGCCAUUUUUCUAGCAUGCCUCACAUCCUCCGUUGGGAUUGAUAGUUUGGACAACCUCCACAUGAAAUGUUGAAUUUUUCCCGGAACUUGAAUAGACCACAAAGUCUCCCACGAUUUUGCUUCCGCUUCGAUAUCAUAGGAUCCCGAUCUUCCUUCUAACCAGUCCUCCCUUCUAUGCUUUGUGUCUGCGAGCAUUCGAUAUGCAGAUCUUACCGAAAACAGUCCGUUUCUUUCAAAGUUCCAAGCCAAGUGGUCGUCCAUCUGCCUGGUGCAAACCGGAAUGGCCAAGAUUGCCUGUGUGUCCGCCGCAAUGAAUUUGCAUCCAAGGCUUCUCUAUUCCACGCAGCAUUAUGUGCAUCAAUGAGCUCACUUACAAAAAGAGGAGGGUUGGCUGAGAGACAAGCAAAAGGUCUCAUCAAAGCGCUCCUUGGAAUCCAGUUAUCCAUCCAAAUUCUAGUUGUUGUACCAUCUCCAAUUCUCCUGAUGAUCCCUUGCUUAAGGACAUCUCUCCCCUCCAAAAUCGCUCGCCAUACCUGUGAUGGCCGGUUACCAAGUUCAGCUUCCAAUAUUGUAUUUUGAGGAUAAUAUACUACCUUCAAAAUUUUCGCACACAGUGAGUCUGGUUGUUGCAGAAGUUUCCAAGAUUGUCUUGCUAGGAGAGCUAGGUUGAAAAGCUCGAAAUCACGGAACCCUAACCCUCCCAUAAUUUUGGUUGAGUCAUGGCCUUCCAGGAAACCCAAGCUGGUUUCCUUUUGCCCUCUUUGUUGCCCCACCAAAACUGUCUUAUCAGCUUGUUUAAAUGUUCACAAAGCCCUCUUGGUAAUUUGAAACAUGACAUUGAGAAAACUGGCACCGCUUGUGCCACUGAUUUCACCAAAACUUCCUUCCCUUGUGAUGAUAAACACUUUUCCAUCCACCCUUUCACCUUGCUCCAUAGUCUGUCUUUCAGAUACUUAAACGCCCCAUUCUUUGAUGUACCUAUAUCAAAAGGCAUCCCUAGGUACUUUUCGUUCAACGAUUCAUUGGGGACAUUAAGUAUGUGUUUGAUCUCAUCUUUGAUAGUAGUUGGGCACCCCUUACUAAAAAAGAUAGAAGACUUUGAAGUGUUAAUUCUCUGACCUGAAGCCUGGCAAUAGCUCUCCAACAGGUUUGACACCUCGUUCGCCCCUCCUCCGGUUGCUUUAAAGAACAACAGGCUAUCAUCCGCAAACAACAAGUGAUUAACAGGUGGUGCCGAGGACGCCACUUGUAUCCCACCCAGUUGAGAUGACUUACUUAGAUUUUUCAAUAGGCCUGAAAGGCCCUCCGCUGCCAAUAAGAACAGGUAAGGGGAGAUAGGAUCUCCCUGACGAAUACCUCUGCUAGGUCUGAACCCUUCCAAUUUCCUUCCAUUGAAUAAAACCGAAUAAGAAACAGAUGAUACCAUGUUCAUCACAAUAUCAACCCAUCUCUGAGAAAAGCCCAAUUUCAACAUUAUUGCUCUUAAAUAAUCCCACUCCAAUCUAUCAUAUGCUUUCAUCAUAUCCAAUUUAAGAGCGCAGUGUCUGUGUUUAAUUGCUUUGUUACGCUUCAUAAAAUGCAGACACUCAUAGGCUACUACUCCCUCCAUUUCAGAAUAUAACGUGUAUUGGUUUCCAUGCAAGUCAACCAUUUGAAAGUUUGACCAAGAUUAUUGAACGAAAUAGAAACAUCUGCAAUACCUAAUAGAUAAAAUAUGAAAGUACCUUUCAUGAUCGAUCAAAUGAUUUAAAUUUCAUAUUGUGGAUAUUGAUAUAUUUUUCUAAAAACUUGGUCAAACUUGCACUCGUUUGACUUUUGAAAAAACAAAUACACUUUAUAUAAAGGAACGGAAAGAGUAUGAUAUUAUCAGUGAUCAAACGCCCUGGCACAAAGGCCGACUGUUCUGCUGAAAUUAUCUCGGGGAGCACUGACUUCAGUCUGUCGGCGAUAACCUUGGAGGCUAUCUUAUAAAGUACAUUGCAUAAACUUAUCGGUCGGAACGGUGAUAAUUUUAGGGGAAACCAGUAGUUACUCGAGGCUAGCUCACCACAAACGAGUCACUCUAAUCUAGGCCCGGACCAGCCCAGCCCAGCCCAGCCCAGUCGCGUUUGUACCAGGCAAAAUCUGGACGAGGCUCCUCGUCUCGCCAUCGUUCCCCACUCCCUCGCCGCCGGCGCAGCCUGCGCCAUGCUCCGCCUCCGGAGCUGCGUCCUCGCCCAUCUCCUCUCCUCUCCCGCCACCUCUCUCCAUCGCCUCCUCUCCGCCGCCGCCGUUUCCCCCAGCUCCGGCUUCUCCGUGGAGCACUACCUCGUCUCCACCUGCGGGCUCACCCGAGCGCAGGCCCUCAAGGCCUCCCCCAAGCUCUCCCACCUGAGGUCCCCCUCCAAGCCCGACGCCGUCCUCGCCUUCCUCGCCGGCCUCGGCAUCCCCAGCUCCGACGUCGCGGCCCUAGUCGCCAGGGACCCGCUGUGCCUCUGCGCCAGCGUGGAGAGAACCCUGUCCCCCGUCGUCGACGGGCUCACCGGCCUCGGACUGUCGCCUUCCCAGAUCGCGCGACUCGUCCCGCUCACCGCCAACACCCACUUCCGCAACAAAUCCGUCGUCUCCAAGGUGGGCUACUACCUGCGCCUCUUCGGCUCCUUGGAGGAAUUCCUCCAGGCGUUCAAGCACAACCACAAUCUCUUCUCACACAGCCUCGAGAGGGUGGUCAAGCGGAACGUCCUGCUGCUGCAGGAGUGCAUGCCAGGUGCCCGCGAUGUUGGCAAGCUGGCCAUCUCUAUGCCAAGGAUGCUCACCGCCAAUGCGGACCGAAUCCGGGCGAUGGUGUCAUGCGCGGAAGGCAUCGGUGUGCCUCGCGGCUCGAGAUGGUGGUCAAGCGGAACGUCGGGUUGCUGCGGGAGUGCACGCUAGGUGCUUGCGAUAUUGGCAAGCUUGCCAUCUCUAUGCCAAGGAUGCUCACCGCCAACGUGGAACAAAUCCGGGCGAUGGUGGCCGGCGCCGAACGUCUGGGUGUGCCUCGCGGCUCUGGGAUGUUCCGGCAAGCCAUGCGGAGCGUUGCGUUCGACAGCGAGGACAAGAUCGCCGCCAAAAUGGAAUACUUGAAGAAGACGUUUAGGUGGUCGGAUGCCGAGGUGUGCAUUGCUGUGUCCAAGGCUCCAAUGCUGCUCACCUUGGGCAAGGACCUGCUGCGGAGGAAGUCAGAGUUCCUCGUCUCCGAGGUUGGACUGGAACCAGCAUACCUUGCUCAUCGCCCAAUAAUGCUCAGUUACAGCCUAGACGGGCGGCUCAGGCCACGGUACUGCGUUGUCAAGUUUCUCAGGGAAAAUGGAUUGCUCAAGGGCAACCCGGGCUAUAAGACAAUUUGGGAUCUGGUUGAGAAGGUAUUCAUGGAGAAGUACAUAUGCCCUCACAUGGAGGCUGCGCCACACCUUGCUGAAGACUAUGCGGCCGCAUGCAGAGGGGAAGCGCCAACUAGAUUCAGAUUUACUUGAACCAUCAAUGGGCUAUGAAAAUUGGUAAACUGCGUAGGGUGCUCGACAAGGUUUUCAUUCUGAGUAGCAAGCCGGUAAUUCCUAUUUUUGUGUUCUUUUCCUAAUUGGAUCAUGUCUUUUAUCUGCUAUUGACUGUUGAACCCCAACGUGUCGAUGUAUUAUUCAGUAGAGAAGAAAGCAUCGCCUGCAAUCUCUGAAAAUGAUAAGUCCUGGAAUAUAUUUGUGUUUCUGACUUCCGUUUAAGAUCGUGGAAAUUGGAUGUGGGGGUGGAUCAAUUUUCUGUUGAAACCAGGACCCAGCAAACCAGAAAGCAAAAGGACCACCCUGUCCUGGUUUCCAUUAAAAACAUUGGUAUGAUAUGCUUUCAUGCUGAAUUCUAUCAGCAUGUCCCGUUUUUGUUUCAUCGUCUUCUUUGUUCCAUCAUAUUUCAGUUAGUACUAAAAUUGCAGUUCAAUGUUUAGACUAUGCUUAGAAAAUAUAUUUCUGUUGGGUGUAUGUUCGCCUUUUUCUUCUUACCCGUAUUAUUCAAAGAUUGAUUUGCUUUGUUCCUAAAUUCUAUGGUUGACAUUUGCUGGGAAACUUUUAGCUGUGAAAAGCUGACUUAUCCGAGACUAAAGCAUGAUCGUAAAAUGAAUUAGUCCUAUCAUUUGUAUCUGUCCUAAAUCGUGAGAACUAAACCAAAGAAGAUGACAUGAAUUAGUCUUAUCAUAUCUCUCUACUAUUCAGUUUGAAAAGAGGAAUACGACGCCCAAUCCAUUCAAGGAACUGCAAAUCCAGAACGUGCAUUGAGUUGACAUACAAUUAUGUUAGUUGCAGCAAAAGGUGAUUAAUAUGCCACCAUAUCAAGUUAAAAUACAAAGCAAAUGAACAUGUGGAGAUUUGUUCAGAGAGACUAAAUGAUGUUAGUUUCUAUUUCAAGUAUCAACACUGAACCUGAUACUUGCAGGAUAGAUAACUUUCACACUAGUACACUUGUUUCGCACUAACUCUGGGAUAGAUACUCAUGCUCUGAACUUUUCUUUUGUGCACUGGGAAACUUCUGGUGUUAUAAAUGGUCUUCAUUUUCACUCUACCUCUAGGGGCACUUUGUGGAAUGGACUGUCAAAAGCUUUGGCAACAGAGCUGCUAUUCAGUUUACAGUUGAAUUUAGCAGCAGCUAAUGCAUGCAGUUUCUUUAUUAAAAAAAAGGAAAGCCCCAAAUGCCAGCGGGGUUAUAUAACCUGUGAAUUAUGUCUUGUGCUCUUCAUGUGUACAACUAUGAUGUGCCCAAGAACUGGAGGACAUGAUCUCACUCACCAGCAGGUACAGACUAAACUUACGGCAUUAUAAUGGUUGCUGUUUCUGCUUUACUAAAUAGAUACCAAAUCAUGUUCUGCAUUUGUAACCAUCUCUUCCUUUAUAUUCCUCUUUUAUUUCUGAAUGGUCUAAUAAUGGCAUCUGAUCUCAAAACUGAAUAGUGCAGUAGUAAGUAUUCUGUGUUGACCUACCCACGAAGGUGUAGCAUAACAUAACAGAUAAUUUGAAGGCCCAUAAUUAUCACUCUGGAAAGCCUUGUAUCAAGUUAGUUGGGCUGUAUUUGUUUUCUGCCAGCAACAUCCCCACCGUUGGCUGGCGUACAUUUCCCUCUCCUCAUACAUGGUGGUGUCAGACUCGAGGAUAAGUAGACACACUUGACCUUACAGAGCUGUUUUGAUACAGGUUGCAGCUGCUCACUCAUGCCACUUGGUCACUGAACUGAACAUCGAGUCGUAUUUACUCUGAAAAUGCUAGGUCAUGUCCUGUUAGUGCAGACCACUUUUAUGUCCUGAAACAUUUUUUUUUGACACCUGAAACAGUAGGAGAGGCUCCUACUGUAUGUAUUAAAUUAAAGUAUCAAAAAAAGGUCUUACAAAGUCAUAACCUUACAUCCAUGGCCAUGCUAAAAGAGUGUAGUAGGGUAGGAGCUGAGAAGGAGAGCUAGCCUAAGGGAGAACAAAAGAUUGAAUGAAGGAGGAAAUAAACUGUCUGUGCUUCUCUUUGGCUCUAUGUAUGAGGAGAGAGAAGUCCUCCUUAAAUCUUCUAGCCCAUGAGCUGACAGUAGGGUCCUGAAACAUUUGCCACCCCUGAUGCCAUUCAUCUCUGUUACGAUUUUCUCAUUACCUGCAGAAUUUUGGAUCUUAGCGCAAAUGUUUCUUGGAAAGUUUCUCCUGUUGUAUACCGAAGUUGUAGUUGGCACACACUUUUUGCAACUGCCUAUUUCUUAGUUAAUGUGUAAUUCUUACUCAAAAUAAAUACAUAAUAGAUUUUUAUCUCAUUUAAUCAGCAAUAAGAGGUUCUUAGACUGGGUGUCUUCUAUAAAAAAAAAGUGCUACUUUGGCUAGAUUGAUGACUUAUCAGAAAGAGCAACAAAUCUGAUAUAUAUAUUUACUAAUUUGAUGCUCUUUUGAAGCCUCCACAUUAAUCCAUGGAGAUUAGCAACUAUGACUGUCCCGUCUUUGCUGCGGAAGAUCUAGACCCUCGGAUCAGAAGAUGCACCCUCAGAUGGUGUAGGCCUUGCUAGUCAUGUCCUGAGUCACGCAGGCCUUGCUCGUCACAUGGUGUAGCAGCUGCAGCCCUGCUCCACCUCCUUUACAAUGCUGCGAAGUAAGGAAGCUUAUAGAGGUAUCCGUGUGUCAUUCCUUCACCAUCACACUUGAGAGUUCCAGUUUAGAUUUUUGAUCCUUGCAUAUCAUGUGUUCGCUCGUAAUAGUAUAAUGUCUCAUGAGUUUUAACUGCCCUGAUUUGUUUCCUCUACAAACUGUAGAUCUCCAAUCCAGAUAAAUAAUGUUUGCAUGCUCUCCUCUAUGAUUGUAGGUGCUUAAAUCUAAGCUGUACUGUUUCCUUUGUCGUUGUUUGGUAACUCGGUCAUGUUGAAUAUGUUACUAUAUGAAUUAAAACCACCACAGGAAUUAUGGAACGGAGUAAGUAGCAAUCACACACAUGUAUAAUGUUGUUGAAGUGUGGAGCCAUGCGUCUCAUGGAAUUUUGUUGUUGAUUUUUCUUCCACCAUGCCGACAACUAUUAUUAUUUAGUGUUUAUACACCAUCUUAUUAUUAUUUGUUUCUCGAACCACAACUUUCAUGCCUUCUAGUAAAAAGCGAUAAAAAUAAGAAUCUGAGAGAAAUAUGUACCAAAAAAUGGAACCGUGUUGUAGGACAUGACUAGAUUUUGUAAUUACCGACAAAGCCCCCUGUCAUCUCAAAUUGAUAAGCUAACUAACGCUAAAUUUACGUAGAGUAAUUUUAAUGAAAUAGUUAGUAACCCAACUUUGUAUCUUUCUAUUUUUCAGCUUGACUUCCUUUUCUCCAAUAAAUUUCGCAACUUCGAGUUUUUGGUCUUUCUAGUCUACUAUGGAGAAUUAGGGAUUAAUUCCUUCAUAAAUAACGCAUCCAAGAAUUAAUAUGUGGCAAUGUGCUCCAAGAAAAACGCACCGAAUAUUGAUACAAUGAAUUUUCAAUAACGCGGCUGAACUUGAAACACGUCGUUCACGCAAGCAAAUGCAGCCUUGUAACCGAAAACAAGGAAGCAAAAUAGGUAUUGUUCAUGAACCAAACGUAAAUGCAUACAUAUGUGAAAUUAAUGAUAUUCGGGUAUCCUGACCAAGAGCUGGAUAUGUUGAACUAGUACUAUUUGCAUUCAUGUAUGUUAAUCGGUUUACCUGAGAAUGCAUAGGUUUACAUGUCCCAAAUCAACAUGCAUAUAUGCCAGAGAUGAAUACUCCCUCCACCCCAACUUGGCAGUCUUUUCUUGAUCUGCGCGGUACUAAAUUUUCAGUUAGCCUCGACAUGGUAACCGAUUUCUAACAUCCAACACACAAUCUGAUCUAAUUGCAAGUCUAGGUGACAUGAUAUUGCAUUGUUGAUAUACAAUGAUGCAUGAUAAUCCCACCGUUUGAAAUAUGGGUAUUGUUUUUCUUGGGAGAAAAUAAGUCAAAGGAUUAAAGCAGCUCUAAUCAAACUCCUAAAAAGGGUUAAACUCCACAAAAAAUUCUGUUUUGAGAAGUCAAGUUGCACCUACAAACUCUCAAGGUUUACUCCUCAAAGUUCUAAAGUCCCGCCUACCACCAAAGGCCCUGAUUCUGAUUCUGACAGGAAAGGAAUUGCCAGCCGCCUACACAACCCCACCGACCACUCCUGGCGACGCUACAUCGCCAGAGUUGGCGAACGCGUCGACGCCAAAGAAGCGAAUCGGAACGGUCCACCGCGCCAUCCACGGCCGCGACUGGUAAGGCCCUCAACGAGGCGAUAGCAAAGAAGGGGAAGAAGCCCUUCGCUCCAACGCCUUCUCCAUGUUUGGGAGCUCGCAUAGCUUCCACUCCAUAUCCGGCCACCCCCUCACCUCCUCCUCCGCCACCUACGGCCACCGCAGUCGUCGAUGAUGAUCAUGCCCGCCAAGUGUCUGCCUGAAAGGUAAAUAAAAGCACUUUCCUUUUUUAGCUAGGGGUCUUGAUGAUGUAAUGUGGUGAUGGUCGUGUGGCGUGUUUGUCCUUGUUGAUUGUAGUGCGGGGCGAACAUGAUGUUGCAAGUUCCAUAUCCCAAUCGGAUGAGUCACACAUACUCAGACUUGUUGACAUGGAGUUGUCAAUGGCCGAUGAUUAUGAGAGGUUUGAAGAUGACAAGGGUGAGGAGAAUGACCUCGAAGCAGAGGAGGUCGAUGAUCAAGUGGAGACACGAACAAACAUCAAGAAGAUAAGGUCAACGAAGUACAGUAGCCAAGAGAACAUUGCCUUGUGGCUUGCUUGGAUGAAUAUCUCGCUUGAUGCCUUGGUUGGUGCGGAUCCCACACCGAAGGAGAAGUCUGGAGUAGGAUUGAGGAAUACCACUCCAACAACGUGACCGUCCGUUCCCACUGCACUCAAGGUUCUCUUGCCCCAUCGAUGGAGUGUGAUACAAGAGCAGUGUAGCCGAUGGCCCGGUGCGCCGAUCAAGUCAGCAUUGCACCACCGAUUCUGCUAUGAUGGUGUCGGGUGACGAAAGUUGGCAACAAGCUCAGAGGACUCCUCGGUGGCGAUUGUAGCUUCCUUCGAUAUCCAUUAUUGUGGCGUCGGAGGCGGAUGGCGGAAGCUGGCGUCAAGCUCGGGGGAUUCUUCGGUCUUGAUUGUAAUUUUCUUUCUUGCCUGUUGUCUUUUCAGUUUUGUUAGGUGAGCGUCCGCAUGACUUCUAUCUUAUUGUUCGAAAAGAAACAAGAAUGCGAUAUAAAUAAUUCGGUAUUCGGAUCCGGAGAAAGAAGAACAUUGAUGAUUGGACCGAAUCCGCUUUGGCCUCACCCCUACCCGAAGAGCCCUCCUACUUUCCGCAAAACUACGGCCGGAUUGCCACCGCAUAGAUUCCCCACCCCCGCCCUCCCUUCCUCCCGUCGUCUCCCCUAUUUCUCUUCCGCCUCCCACCCGGCGCCCCACCGCGAGCGCGAGCGAGGAGACCGACCUAGGGUUCGCGCCUCCCCGCCGGUCCCCGCCCGCCGAUCCUCUCCCCGCCGCCGCCCCCGAGGAUCCGCGGCCGCUCCCGUCGGUCGCCGCUCCGGAUCCGCGCCGCCCGCGCCCCUCGACGCCGCCGAGCUCCGUCCCCGCCCGCCCGGGGCCGCUGGUACUGCCCCUGCUCCCCCCUGGUCGCGCUUCUGUCUGCCGAUCUGUGCCGAACCGCCGUACGAACUCGCUGGCGCUGCUAUGAACUCGCUGCUGCUUAUCCCGUCGCUGUUGUGCGCCGUAGCCUCUCAUGCCGCCGCCGCCGCUAUUUGCUGUUCACGAUUUCGUAUGACGAGUCGAUUGGGUGCGUUAGACGGGGAAAGACGGUUUUGGGACGCGUGCCAUGUUAGGGUCUGCAAUAGGCUGCCGUCUGUUCUCAAAUCCCAAAGAUGCAGAAAAAAAACCUUUAGGAGGAGAAUCUCUCUCAAAUAACUAGGAAAACCUAGUGCGAAAAGCGGUUUUAAAUUAGACAGGAUUCGCUCGAGAAGAUGCUCCGAGGAAGAGCUGGCAAUUUAGGUGUGCAAAUCAGUUUAGGCGUGAUACUGUAUAAGUAUUAGAUUGGGCUUAUGUCGGGGAUGGAUGAGGCAGCCUAGUUGGGCUUAGGAACAUACAAGGUAUGGUAAAUUGUUGUGAAGUUUGUCAGUUGGUAGAUUUUGUCGGUCCCUGUGCUGACUGAUUCGUUCUUGAAGGAAACCAGGUAUAAUAUAUAGAUUUCGGUGUCAGCUUUAUUGUUCAUGUCCUCUGAGUUAAAUAUCUUGUUAGAAUUAUCUUUUGUUUUAUCUUCAGGUUAAUCAGGGCUAAUGCCUUCAGGGUUGAAUAGGUUGACAACAACAUAUUUGUUAUUGAAGAAGCCCAAAAUUAAAUGGAACUGAACUUGUUUUUUUUUAAAGAAUUUCUGCUUCAUCAUUACCACCUGUUUGUAUGAAAAACCAUUCUUCAGCCUGACUGGAACCUCUCUUGUGUUCAUCUUUGUUUUUACAAAAAAGUCUGCUCUCUCUAGCUCAUUCUCGUUACUCUUCUCAUGUUCCACAGAAAGAUGAUAAACCUUUUUAAGAUCAAGGGGCAGAAGAAGGAAGAGGCAGCCAACUCAAAUGGGGGCCCUCCUGUUAAGAAGCAAAGUCCAGGGGAAUUACGUCUCCACAAAGGUUGUUUGACAAGUGAUUUGAUCUUAUGUUACUUUCAGCCAUUUGGUGUGUCAGUUCAAAAUGUUGACACUUGAUAUAUGGUUCAGUCUGCAUUUUUUGUGCUUGUUUUAAGGCUGCUGUGAAACGUGUAUUUUUCUGUUCGAUAAAUCACAUUAGUUGGUUACAGUUAUCGAUGGCUGCCCUCUGAGUCUCUCACAAUUCAUCCCAUAUGCUCUAUAUACCAAAAAUAUAUCAGAGAGCACCUUAUAGUUAAGAUUAAAACCACUAGUUAAGGGUCAACCAAAAAAGAUUAUCAUAAUCCACCACAAUGGGAUGCUAUGCAUUGUGUAUUGAUAAGUGCUAGCCUGAAAUCCGUCUCCUGCAACCAUGUGCAUUCACAUCUGUCUGUAAGCAUAUGAUUUUUUUUGUUUUCCGUUCUCAUUACAAUGUACUACUCCCUCCGGAUGGGAAUAUAGGGCAGGAGGCGCCACGACCAAGACAGGCAGUUAGCUCUCCUGAGCAAUUAAUUACCUCCGUAAAAGAAGCCCAUCUGUGUGCGCAUAUUACUCAUGCCUCAUGCAUGCAGCGAUUAAUGGGCCGACCCUUGGCCUCCUGCAAGCAGUGGUCUGGAGCGCACGUCACUCCCUGCCAAUGCCCAAUCAACGGUGAAAAUUAAUGUGUGGCUAAUUAAUGCGCGGGUGAGGGCGAGAAACCACUUUGGAUUUGGUGUGAUUAGAGUAUGCAACUUAAAUCUAGAAUUAUCUGCUGGCGGUGACUGGUGAGCCUACUACCAGUCCGGAGGGAGUUUCGCUCCUAAGUAGAUUACUUAACUACUCUAUUUUGAGGAAAUUAUACACAUAUUACCACCUAUUUUUUUAUGUAGUUGACUAAUUUUGUAAAUCAUUUGUGCAAAAGACUAAAAAGGGCUCUGUUUGAUUGUACUGGUCUAGGGACUGCUAUAUAUGUUACCUUGCUAUAUAAACUCUGUUGUUUACCAUAUUGGUGAGCUUCUACCGGUUAUGACUCGCCAUCAUGGGCUAUGGUUCAUGUGUGAAAAAUUGGAAAAUCUUUGUACCAAUCAUUAUCAUCUGUUGUUCUUUUUGUUUGACAUGUAUAAUAAUAUAGUUGUCAGUUAUCACACUGUCGCCCAAUCAACACAUAGAUGCCACCUAGCUAUCCUGGUCCGGAGGAGGGCCGCCAUGGCUUCUUGCCUAGCCUGGAGGUCAUGGGAAAGUGGUGAAACACGCUAAUUGGCGGUAUGUGUGUGUUAAUCUGUAUUACCAUGUUCUCUUUGCCACUGGAUUUUGUCUCUAUGCUGCAUAUCGCAGCUUGAAAAUGAGGCAGAGCAGCUGCAGGAGCAGGGUGGGAGGUAUAUGGUGGGGCAUAAGAGGGUGUGGAGGAGAGGAUGAGCUGGCAACAUGGCUGAUGUAGCGAGUAGUCGGGAGAAGAGAGAUGGUGCAGCCUUGAGGUUUGUUGGGGUAGUAUGCCAAGUGAUAGUACACUGGGUGCCUGGGUGGCACAUCUAUCCCCUGUUUUCCUUUUUGGGCUUUGCACACUGGAUAUAGCAAUUAUUGCUGCUGUGGAUGAGAUUGGUAUAGCCUCAUUGUCACCCGGCAUGCCGAUGCCCCACGGUUGCCAUGAGUACUAUGUUGACGACUCAAAUAGACUAGUAGUUCUUUAUAGGCCCAGAUAUCUUAUAUCCAGGGUUGAAUCUCAAAUGUACUAUUUUAACUACAGUUUGAUACGCGAAAUAUGAUCCAAUACAGAAAUACAUCCGUAUUAAAAAUUGAAUAUUAUGUGAUUCUUCUAUUGUUCAAACCUGUGGUGUGAUAAUAUCCACCUAUCUGUUCAUGUGUUCCUGAUUUAUGUAGAUGAUGUAUAUCACUCCUUUCUAUCUGGAUAGUUCUCAAAAUAUGGAUCUUGUUGACAAUUUCUGUUCUAACUUGCAGAUAUUGCUGAGCUUAACCUACCAAAGACAACUAAAAUUUCCUUCCCAAACGGAAAGGAUGAUCUCAUGAACUUUGAAGCUACUCUACGACCUGACGAAGGAUACUAUCUGUAAGUAUCUUAUUAUAGAUGCUUCUUUUAUACCUACUCUCCUUUUCGUCCUUUUGUCAUGCUAUAGUAAUCUUCACUGAACAUUCAAGCUACUUAAAAACAUGCACUGUUACUAGUUGCCACAUAAAUGGAGGGAUAGGUAGUUUUAGAUGGCUGUUAACAAAUUUCAGUCUUGCAUUUUGGGGUACGUGUUUGAAGGAAUAUUUGUUGAUGAAUAUGAAUUAAUAAGAGAAAUUAACUUAGUUUUAUUUUACAGUUAAAUCACACCUCCCGCAAAUAUCUCUUGACAUAGCAUGAAGAAAGAUUAUUCCAUUUAUAGUACUUAAAUAGAAAUAUGAGGAGCAGUUGAUGACGAUUGUUAAAUUAGUUUCUUUAUUUCUCAUCAUUUCCAUAUCAUUCAUGUCCCACUCCCCUGGCCAUUAUAUAUAUAUCAUCUUUUCACUACUAAUUCAGUUUUCUUAUGGUGAGAGAAAUUACUUUUGUUGGCCCCCUUUAUAGUUGAUGAAGAAUAUUGUUCGGGUAUUUACCUAAAAUGUAGAUAUGGGGAUGCGAAAAUGGAUCACCUAUAGGUGUCAUGUGUACAUGUAGCCCCAAUCGAGCCGUAAAAGCAGCAGACGAUAGCUAGUUCUCAUAUAAGAUAUUUCCUUGAGUUAGUUAAUAUCUUCCUUAUUUUCUUAGAAGCAUUUUGUGUCUUUAUGUUUUUCUAGUAACUCCUGUAAGAAGAGUUAGUCUUAUGGUUUGCAUGAAGCAAGAAUAAGGGAAACCAUUCUCUCAUCUAAAGUCUUUGUUCUGUUACAGUUUGUCUCAUCUUUCUCCUAAAUCCCUCCCCUCAAGCCAUGCAGAUUGGCCCACCUUUGUACAGUAGCUAUUUUGUUACCCUGAUGAACGCCCAUCACCAUAUAGAUAUAUUAACCUUAUCAGUUGAUAAAAAACAAUAUUAGUCUGUUAUUCUAAUAUCCACAAUAUGUUUUCUUUCUUAGAGGUGGGUCAUUCACUUUCACCUUCCAAGUAUCUCCUUCCUACCCUCAUGAGGCACCGAAGGUCAAGUGCAAGACCAAGGUAAGCACCACAGCUUUGACUCCUUUCAUUCAUCAUCAUAAGUUGACUAUUGCUAAUGUAGUAUCUUUUCAGGUUUACCAUCCCAAUAUUGACCUAGAAGGAAAUGUCUGCCUGAACAUUCUGCGUGAAGACUGGAAGCCUGUCUUGAAUAUCAACACCAUAAUCUAUGGUUUAAACCUUCUUUUCUCAGUAAGUGUCAUCAUAUCAUAUUAGAUUAACCGUGCAACGUCCGGUUUUCCAUUCAAAAUAUAGUUUAUCUGAUGGGUUUCUGAUAAAAUUUAUUAGUUGUCAGGGAAUAAUAUAAUUAUUUGUUUCUGUUUUGUUUUCUCGUCAUGUGUUUUGGUCACAAACCACCUUGUUAAUGUCUGCAGCAACCCAACGACGAGGACCCCUUGAAUCAUGAAGCCGCGGCCGUCCUCCGGGACAACCCGCAGAAGUUCCAGAGAAACGUUCAGAUGGCAAUGUCGGGAGGCUAUGUCGAUAACACCCAUUUCCCAAGGUGCAAGUAAGGCGGGCGGGUGGGCAGGCCUGCUACGUGCUUGCUUCUGGCUUGCGCCCAUCUACCCUAGCCUUGAAUGCCAACCAUUGCACAAUCUGAAGAAAUGCGGGCGGCAUACCCAGGAAAUGUAUCUAUCAUACUUGUUUGUGUCAAGAAGAUGUGACUGUUAUUGUGCUUGUUUGGUGGAUGUUCUGGAAUUGUCGUGUAACAUGAAGAAACGUGGUGACAUUAUGCAGCGAAACUCGCCUGUAUCGAGCUGAAAAGUAAGUCAGGGGUGUGGAUGUGUCGAACUGAAUUAUCUUGACCCAACAAAGAAAUCACCUACGCAGGUCUUGUAUCUACCUUUUGGGGAGGGAAAAAAGGCACUCUGAAGGCUGAAAUCUAUCCUUUUGAAUUUAAUGUUAUCAUAUCAAAAUCUCUAGGCAAACCUAUAAUCUUAGUGUUGCUUGAGACUAUUUGAAUUUGCAGAUGCAAAGUGUUCUAGAAAAUCGCAGCGAACAAAAUGUCAGGACUGUAGAAAAUAUCUGGUGAAAACCAAGUUACAAGGAAAACAAGCUGACUUGUGAAUGAAAGCCCCCUUCUUAGUUUGAGCUGUAAAUUAAAAAAAAACGAUUUUGAUUUUUUGUGGCAAACAUUGGUGAAAGUUUUUAGUGCUUAUAAAGUUUCAUUACGAAGUGACAUUUGUGGAAGUUGUGCCAAAACAUAACAAAGUCAAUGCUCCAAAAUGCUUUCAAAAAUAGCAUUUUUGGACCUCUGAUUUUUUCCCAUGACUUGCACAAACGUUAUUCCAUGAUGGAACUUUGCAAGCACUCAAAAUAUUAUCAAUUUUUGCCAAAUUUCAUUUUAAUUUUUUUGAUUUUUUAAUUUUACUCUUCACCCGAGCUCAUUUGAGCUGGAGCUAAGAUACUCCGCGUCCACUUAGUUGUGGCAUGUGGCUUCCAACUAAACACCAAUACAUACUUCUUUUUGCAAAAAGAAAAAAAACAUAACACCAAUACAAGCUUCGGGAGGUUUGCUUGAAUACUGUUUCUUUUUGGUACCACUAGGUGUGUCUAUCUAGCUUCUCCACCAUUCACAGCCGUUAGAUUAGAAACGAACAGAAGAGAUGCACCCGUUACUCUAACACGAGUACUGUAUUGAUUCUACGUGACGAGCAGAUAAAAAAGUCGGGAGUGGAUAUCUGCAAAAAUGAAGGAAUCGAGCUCUGAUCCCGUGGCACACAAUCCGAACCUGUUUAAGUGAACCAAACAAGGCCUCAGAUUCACAAACAUUACACUGUUUCGACUGAAAUCAAACACAUCUUCUGAUUAUUCACUUAAAUUAGUUUUUUGCUUGUUUGUGAAACUAAACUUGUGAAAUGUGACUCCAAAGUCCAAACAUGGAAGUUGUGAAAUUUAUUUCAAUUCUUUCGAUCAAUUCUAUUAUUUUUCAAAUCAGUUGCAUAAACAUUAAGUUGUGUCAAAUAUAAAUUGAACAGAAGUUUCAGUUAUUUCACUCAAUUCCAACAAAAUUGAACACAUAUUUGGAUUAUGUCACCCAAUUCCAGAAAAGUUGAACACAUACUUCGAUUAUUUCACCCAAAUUCUUAUAAUAUACACAUGCAUUUUAGAUGUAAUUAUUUCACAUACAUUAGACUCAUAUUCCAAUUAUUUCAGAAAAAAUGAAAACAAGUUUCAACUAUUUCACUCAAUUUUAGAAAAAACUAACAAAUAUUUCGACCAUUCCACUCAAUUUUGGAUCAAAAUGCAAUAUGAGAGUGAUUUGACAUAAAGUUGUUGUACAGGAUGGGAUAUGAGAAAUACAUGGAAUACUUUCAGCCUUUCAGGUGUGGCUUUGCAUAGAUGGAUCUUGAUGAGUUUGGAGGGUGGAUCCUUCACCAGUGUAGUUGGAGAAGGCAAGAUGACGUCCCAACAGAUUCUAAGCCCGUUCGACAUGGAGCCUUCUGAUGUAUCAAGGCUGUUUUUUUUUUGUUCGCAAAAAAAAAAAUCAAGGCUGUUUUUGCCUUAGUGGCUGCACAUGUCAGGGAGUGGAUCAAUUGUGUGGACAGCCGGACACGCAUCGUUCAUAGGCCUUGGUCAUGCCUACACGUGCCAACAAUGUAGGGAAGUUAGAGAAAAGAAAUAUCCAUUUUGGUGUAUAUGGUCAGUUUAGUAUAUAUGCCGGAAAUAGACGAUACACCCGAAUAUCAAAGAACCAGCAACGGAAACACCGAACUGAACACCAUAAUAAACUGAAUAAAUCUGGAAUGUCGGUCAACUCAGUUUGGUUCCCGAUAUUCAACUUUCGGGGUAAAGGUGCCCACCCCGAACCAUAAUAGCCCGCGGUAAAAAGACUUAACUUAUGACCGAGGAAAGGCACGACAACGUGAUCGUCAUCCUCUAGUAUAUAUAAACAUGGGUUCCUAUUGUUUGGGGCACACCACUUCCUAUGUAUACAUUUUCACUUUAGCUAUAUGUAAAUCGUCUGAAAAUUAAUUUUGGGUCAGUUGAUUUUUGAACUGUCGAUUUCAGCAUUAAGUUUCAUGUAACUUUUUUUUUUGUGUUGGUCUAUGUGUUGUUGUGGGCUGUUUUUCCUUUUGACUGACCUCAUAUUUGGGUCAAUCAAUUCUUUAACAGGCCGAAGCCCAUUCUAGUGCGACAUAGUCUUCUUAUUUUCCCUGUUUUAUGUUUUUAUGUGUUUUUGCUUCUGUUUUUUAUUAUUUGUUUAUUAGUUCAUUUUUAUUUUUUAUUUUAUGAGUAUUUUUUGGGAUGUUGGGUGAGUGUAAACAUAUACAUGUAAAUAAUAUUAAUAUGCGCCAAAAUUUCACUUUUAUAUGAUUACUCUUUGCAUAUUACAAAAAGUGCAAUUUUCAUGCAAAGUUGUGUGCAAGUUUUUAUUUUUAUUUUUAUUUUAUUUCUUUUUAAACGAAAAUAACAACACCACUAAUUCAUUCUUUAUUAUAAAAUUUAUUAUUUUGAUAUUUUUUUAGUUUUUAUUUAAUUUUCAUUCUACAUUAAGGGUAAUACCAAUGCCACUAAUUCAUCCAUUCUUAGAUUUUUUUUGCAGAAGUCUCUCACAUUUAUAUGCUUAUGCUUGCAUAUUUUUAAAAAGCACAAUUUUUAUGUACAUUUUGUGCAAAUGAUGCCACCCUUAGUUUUAGAAAAUUUCCCCAUUUUCUUUCUUCUUAAAUGGCUAUACCAAUGCCACAAAUUCAUUCUUCCUUAGAAAUUACAAUUAUUUUGAUUUUUUUUCACUUCUUUCUUCUUAAAGGGUAAUGCCAAUUGGGUGAGGGCUUUUGGAGGCCGAGCUCCACGGAGCUCGUUUUCAAAAUACAAAUUUUCACAAGGUGAAUUUUUUUGAAAUUGUUUGUAUACACUUUCACACAUGUGUAUUGCGUCUGUGCAAAAAUUCAAAACCAAAUACUUUCACAUGUGGCGUACAGAAAAAAGACAAAAAAGUAUUUCUAGAAUGGGCCAAUUUUUUUGUUGUUGGGCCGGAUUUUUGUUUUUUUGUACAGCCUACAAAUCACAACAAAUUCAAAUAAUUUUCUUACACGUUCGUGCAGAAAUCUAUUAAGUUACCGUGGAAUUUUGUUUUGAAUUUUUUUGAAACUUUGAAAUAUAAAUUUUGAUUUUUUCAAAAUACCGAGCUCCUUGGAGCACGGUCUCCGUUGGCAUUUUCCGAAUGCCAAUUUCACUAAUUCAUUCCGUCUUGGGAAGCGUAUUAUUUUUUUGUUUGUGUAAGCAUAAAUGCAAGUACUAGAUAAUAAAUGUGCAAAUUAUAGUAGAAUGCGAAAAAUGCACUGUUACAUGCUUAUUCUUUGCAUAUUUUCAGAAGUGCAAUUUUAGUGCAAAAUUAUUUGCAAGUUUUUUUCAAUUUUCUUUCUUAAAGGGUUUCAGUUUUCAUAGAAAACUUCAUUAUUAUGAUUUUGUUUUAGUUUUUUUAUUUUCUUUCUUUUGAAAGGGUAAUACCAACGUCAGGAUUCAUUCUUCCUUACAAACUUCAUUUAUUUAUUUGAUUUUGUAAGGGUAGUUUUUAUGUCACUAUCCAUUAAUUUUUAAAGUUUUUUCUUUCUUCUUAAAAGGUUUCAUUUUUUCAUAGAAAACUUCAUUAUUUUGAUNNNNNNNNNNNNNNNNNNNNNNNNNNNNNNNNNNNNNNNNNNNNNNNNNNNNNNNNNNNNNNNNNNNNNNNNNNNNNNNNNNNNNNNNNNNNNNNNNNNNNNNNNNNNNNNNNNNNNNNNNNNNNNNNNNNNNNNNNNNNNNNNNNNNNNNNNNNNNNNNNNNNNNNNNNNNNNNNNNNNNNNNNNNNNNNNNNNNNNNNNNNNNNNNNNNNNNNNNNNNNNNNNNNNNNNNNNNNNNNNNNNNNNNNNNNNNNNNNNNNNNNNNNNNNNNNNNNNNNNNNNNNNNNNNNNNNNNNNNNNNNNNNNNNNNNNNNNNNNNNNNNNNCAAUACUAAUGUUACGAAUUCAUUCUUCCUUACAAAACUUCAUUUAUUUAUUUAUUUGAUUUUAAGGCUAGUUUCUAUGUCACAUAUCCAUUAGUUUUUAAAUUUUUUUAUUUUUCUUUCUUCUUAAAGGGUUUCAUUUUUUCCAUAGAAAACUUCAUUAUUUUGAUUUUGUUUUACUUUUUUAUUGUCUUUCUUCUGAAAUGGUAAUACCAAUGAAAAAAAUUAAUUUUUCCUUGCCAAACUUCAUUGAUUUAUUUAUUUGAUUUUUGAAGGGUAGUUUCUAUGUCACUAAUCCAUUACUUUUUAAAGUUUUUUUCAUUUUCUUUCUUCUUAAAUGGUUUCAUUUUUUCAUAGAAAACAUCAUUAUUUUGGUUUUAUUUUACUUUUUUUAUGCUAUUCUUCUAAAAGGGUAAUACCAAUGUCAUGAAUUCAUUCUUCCUUACAAAACUUCAUUUAUUUAUUUAUUUGGUUUUGUAAAGGUAGUUUCUAUGUCACUAAUCCAUUAGUUUUUUGAAAAUUGCACUAUUAUAUGGUUAUUUUUUAUAUUGUAAUAAUCAAUUACCGCGACUUGCAUAUUUCAGUAGUGUUAUGCACGCACUUUAAAAAUAGGAGAAAAUCUUUGUAAGCCAUGAAAAUAUAGUGACAUUGGAAGAUGUGUCAAAGGAAGAAAGUUGCAUGGUAGGCAUGCAGAGGAUAUAACAUAUAAUAAAGAAUAAUGACACUGAAAGAUAAGAUUUUUUACGGGUAGAAAGAUAAGGGUCUGACAAGUCAAAUUUCAUGCGGUUGUAUGCAUGUAGUGUAGUUAGAUAAAUUCUCCCAGAGCUUAAGAAUCUUGCUAGGCUUGCACUAGCUACCAAUCAAAAUAAAAGCUUGCACUAGCUGGCUAUCACGACCAUGAUUGCUUGUGUGAAAAUUCUUGUGGUGCCUGUGUACCGUGUACGUGUAGUUAAGCAAUGAGGAUCAUUAAAUACGUCAGGCUAAUUGAUUAAAUCACAUACACAUGCACUUAAUCUCAUCAAGUAAAUAAAGUGACAGACCCAAAUACUAGAAUCAGACUCCUAGCCGCUCCCAUAUAUUUUCUCUUGUGUCACUAAUGUACACUGUUAGUAAUAUUUACAAGGGUAUUCCAAGCUUGAAAUAUGUGAACUGAGCGUAGCUAAUAUGGUUAGGAUCUUUAUGGUGGAACUAAUCCACCAAGAUUUAAGUUUUAGAUGGCAUUGGUGCUCGCAUUCUUUUGGAUUUGCUUUUGGCUUUCUGACGAUGUUUGUUUAGUGGGAGAUCAACGUUCUCACCGGUUACGAUGUGUCCGUGUGGUUACCCCGUCAAUAUUAAGAUGUCAUGCCGGCUCAGUAUCUCAGAUGUGCUCAUAUACAGGGGUAAGGUGUGCGUGCGUGAGGUCAUAGUGAUGAGUACAUGUGUGUGUGUAUAUGAGCAUCUAUGAUUGUACCGUAUUCAAAAACAAGCUUGAAAUAUGGACAUAUCCUUUUUACGGUGCGUCAUACUACUUCUGGAAUCAGGUAGUAUUGAAUCAUCCCAGCCGUUAAAUAGCAGGGUAGUUUUGUCAUUUUAUUGUUUCUUUAUUUUAUAAAAUCCCUGGCGGUAACCAUCCUCAUGAAGCCUCGUCGUUACCGUCGCCGGUCGUCAACGACGCAUACCCAACAAUUGAUCGGAGCUGGCCUGCGUGCUCUUCAAGUAGGAGCUCCAAGUCUUCUACCGGGC